UCAUUUCCUUUUAUUCUUCUUUAGAGAUCUGGUACGUCAAAUAUCAUACUAAUAUUGUUGUUUUUUGUUAUUGUGGUUGUUUGGUUGUUGUUGUUGUGUUUCUUGUUGUUGUUUAUGUUGUUUGUUGUUGUUUGUUUUGAUGUUGUGAGAUUGAACUUAGAAUUUUCUUGCUUAUUUUUGUUUUGUUAUUGACUUUUUGUUUUCUUAUGUUUAUUAACCCUAGAGGUUUUAUUGACGUGUUGUUUAUUGGCGUAUUACUUUGAUAUUUUGUUUUUUGUGUUGUUUUUUUCUUUUUUUGUUUGUUGAUGUGAUAUGAUAUUAUUUUUAUGAUUCUUUCUACACUCUCGAUCUUGUUCUAAUCGAGUUGAGCUUCUUUAUAUCUAAUGUGAUUGUUUAUUUCACUAACCCUUCUUGAACAUUAACCUAAUAAAAUUAUUAUAUCAUAUGAAAUUAUAUUGUAUCGGAAACAUCUUAUACUGAUUAAUGACUUUCUAGCUUCUACAAUUCAUCAUCUCCUAUUAAUUUUUAGUUAAAUCUUUACUACUUAUAGUUUUCUUUCUUUCUUUUCAUAUUUGUCAUUUUCAAAACACAAUUGAUAUUCAAUUAUUGAUUUAGAUUAAUCUUGUGUUUAAAGAUUUGUAUGUGUUACUAAUCAUAGAAUGAACCUAUGUUGUAGGAUCAAUGACCUAAAUCAAUGAACUUGAACGUAUUAACGUUCAUAUAAUUUAUUUAGGAAAACAAUUUAAAAUUGUGAUUUAAGGUUUAACGUACCAAUUUGUCUGUUUUAACUUCAAACUAUCUAAGGAUUAUGGAGCUGUCUGUAAAAUAUGAUUAUAUACAAGAAAUGAGUUUAAAUUAAUUAAUGUCAAUUUUUAAUUAAAAAAUUAAAAUAAAUAUUGACGUCUAAUAUAUAAGAUAUACCACGGUCCUUUAAAAAACACUGAUUAUAUAAUUGAUAUAGUAUUAUAUAUAUAUAUUUGUAGGUGAUUCUUAUGAACCACAAUAUGAUAAAACUUUUUUCACAAAUUGAUAUAUUUUUAUUUUACAAACUAAAUUCAAAAUUAUUUUGUACCACACUCUAAAUCUCCGAGCAAGAUACAAUUUGACCCUUUUUGUAAAUUGUUGCUAAUCUAUUUGCUACAAUUUUAGUAAAUUAAGAAUAUAUGGUAUUAAUGUAUUUCCACGAUGUUUAUGCAUAUUUUACAACAAUUUUAAUAUGAGAUGGAUAUAUUAUGAACGAUGAAAGAUUACCAACAAAUUCAAUGCAUAAACUUUAUUUAUUUGUAAAUAGGAAUACAAAACAGGGAUUCUCAUGAGCUAUAUAUUCAUUCCACAUGUAUAAGCUCUCCUUCAUGGUAAACUAUACAAAAUAAAAAAGAUAUAAACGAAGGGAUUAAACCAUAAGUAGUAGCAAGUCAAGUGGGUUAACUAGCUAAUGAGACCCACUUUAUUUAUAAAAUAUAUAUAAUAUGCUUUGUUGGACGCAUGAUUAGCGAUGAAUUUCUCGCUGCAAUUUUUUUCUAAUGAUAUGGGCUUAGAUCACGUGCGUAGUUUUAGGACGGGAGUGAAAGUGCAUAAGUGUAUCAAUCUUUAUUAUCAGUUCGGGAUGGAUGAGGAGGAGUAAAAUGAAUGAAAAAUUGAGGAGAAUGAGAGGAAGAUGUGAAAUAUAGUGGAAAAGAACAGAAAGUCCGGAGGAACAGGAUAGCGGAAGCAAGGAACAACCUUGUAAGAUGAUAAAAGAGCAAUGGAAGUUGUUUUGUUGUGCUAACAUAUAUGUUAACCCAAGUUUUAUUAUAAUUCAAUGCACACUCUUAGAGUCUCCAUUGGAUUUUCUGUGUGAAUUCAAAAUGUACCACUUUAUGCCAUCGGGAUUGUUACAAGUAUCACUCUACCAUAAUGACGACAUGGGUUUUAAACUUAUAAUGCCUACGGAAUUAAUUGAUAGCUUAUUAUUUGUGUCCAUUAUUUCUAUUCCAUCGUUUUGUAUCACUCUAUCUUUCUUGCCUAGCCACUCAAAUACUUCUUUCAUAUCUUUAUAACAGUAAGUGUAUACUUUUUUGAUAAGACACAAAUGCCGAUACAGUUCAUGAACAAUCAAUAUCAUAAUUUUCAAAUAGUUUUUUUAAAUUUGCAGAGGGGAGUUGUGAUUUUUUGUCUCUUUAAUUUUUAAUUUUUUAACUCUCCCACAAAUGCCUGUUUUGACGAUGUAACAUAUAUAUAAAAUGAUCAAUUAGUGAUUCAAAAAUCCGGUAAAUGGUUGGACCGGUGAACCGGUUGAGUCACACCGAUUUUCACCAACUAGGGUCCUAUGAAUUUACCGAACUACUUUCCUAUUGCGUUCUCGAUGCUAACAUGUCGUUACAUUUGAUAUGAGUCAUUUUAUAGCGAUAGCAAAUGUUUGACAGUUGUUGAGACAUGUUGUCUCUAUGAGAUCAAAUCAGGAGCAACAUGACAUAUGUGCAAGAUGUAUCCCAGAUUGUGAGACAUUCUGCCUCAUCAGAAGUCAAUAUCAUAAGUAAAUUCGUGCCUAUGAAUGUUUGUUUCCAUUUCUUGUUCAAUCUGUUAUUUUUCAUGUACUUUUUGAUUAUGGAAUUUUUCCAAGAUCAAUCCAGGAAUUUAAAAGAAAAAUACUGAUUGUGAGAGUUAUACACAUCAAGAUCUACAAAUCAACUUAAUGAAGAUAGAUUCUUACAGUAUGGAUUUGCUUCAGCACACGAAAUGAUAUUGAUCGUAUCUCAAAAAUGUGAUCCUUACGAUGGUCGCGGAAAAAAAAUGAUCAUUUGAACAGUCUCACAACUUUAUUAUUCCAUUGAAGGAAUGUAAAUAUCGAUAAAACCCUGUUAAAACAGAAAAUGUCGUCGCCAACCAAAUUCAGGUCCGGGAGACGAUUACACAAGGAAGAUAUUUAGCACCCUCAUGUCUGUCUUACUCACGGACCUUUUAGUAAACUUGCGAUUGAAUGUUAGCUAUUUAUGUUUUCUUGUAAUGGAAGUUUUAAAGAAAAAGAACGAAACCGCAAAUUGUUUCCUAAUGGGUUCACAAGAUUGCGGGACCUUCCUUCGGUCUUGCUUACGUAUCUUAGGUGCGCAUCGGAGCUUCAUUCUAUGUAGGUCUGGGUAAACAGGAGCUGAUUUUUUGAUUUUUUGGUAUAGUGCUUGAUGAGACGAUGAAUCUCGCUCCUAUAUACUCUAGGUGGUAUGAGAACUCAAAGCUAGUAGAUUCUUUGUAGAAAUGAGUUUUGCUGGAUUGAUUUAUAUGACAGUGUUAGGUCGCAUUCUGACGGUUAACAUGGUUGCUUUCCGUGGGGAGGAUUUACCUACUAGGAUUCGUCUAUAGUUGAUGAUUUGUGACUAAAAAAUUCGGUAACUUAGCCACUGAAUUAGCACCAAACUUUGACUCAUGUUAGGUAAAAUUUUUAAGUCGCUAAAAUCGAUCACCAAUUAAAUUUAGCCACACAAUUAUGACUGAUUUGUGACCUAAUAUUCAAUGAUCGAAUUCUCGGUCACUAAUAAUGUUGGUGGUUUUCUUUCUUUAGUUAUAUUCUAUCUCCAUUCUCUCAUUUUUAAAUAUUUUAGUUAUCCUCAUUUUUAGGCUUUAGUCACUCAAUUUUUUUGUUUUUUAACAUAUAAAACAUUAAUUUAUAUAAAAAAUGAAUGAACAUAAAUUUAUUAAUUUAAUAAGAAAUGUAAUUUAAUGACAUUUAAUAAUUAAAUAUCUCUAUAAUAGACGAGUUUAAAUAUGAAAUUGACAAUUGUUUUGUGAUGGUCCAGUGGUAGCAUGGUAUUCUAUAACAAGGUGUGAGUUUGUACUGCCAUGAGACAUUAUUUUUAUUUAACUUUUCAAUUCUUUAACACACUAAAUGUUGUUUAAAUCGUACUAAUUUCGUCACUGAAAACGGUUAUAUGAUGUUUUUGUAAGCUAUUUCGGUCUCUAAUUCAGCCCACUAAAUACAAUUUUAGUGUGUAAGCCUUUUUAGUUUUGUAUUCGCAUUAGAAGGGACUACAAUGUUCUUUCUAAAGGAUUUCAAUCACACAAGGGCGGAAAGAUUGGUUUGAUUCGUUCGACCGCCCCAGAGGCGAUGUAAGAUAGGUUGAUUGUGAUAUUUUUAGAAGGCGAAGAAGAGUUCGAGAAUAUGGAGCGCCCAAUUAUUUGUUAUUCGAGGAUACGUGAGGCGAGCGCCCCUAUUCCUAUUUGGUCCAAUGUGAUAUUUGAAUUUUUUUUCGAAGUCGAAAUAUUCGCGGUAGUGAGGCGGCCUCCACUUGCUUAUUCGAGGAUAAUGGAGUGUGUGUCACCUAUUCCUUUUAUCAAUUGUGAUGGGCGCGUAGCUUUAUUGGAAGAGGGAUUCCUAGUCACGUGAAAUGGAUAGGCAUAUCUUCACUUUUGCUUCCAUCAUUUUCUUUUACUUAUACUUUUUAUUCUUUUGAAUUUUUUGAUUUGGUUGUGAUAUAAAAACCAUGGAUAGCUAAGUUUGGACCAUGACAAAUAAUUACACUAGGAUUAAAAUAAAAGAAACACAUAUCAAUCAAUUAUAAAGGACAAGCUUGUCCCUUCUAGAUUCUUAUGAGAUUAGAAUGACAAUUAAUUCAUUAAGAUAAACAAAAUCCACCUUAAAAUAACGUAUAAAGAAAAAUAACAAGGAUUUAAAUUGAAUAAAAAAUGCGCUUAAAAUGCUCGAAAAUUAAAUGAAUCCUAAAAUGCCAUACAAUACUUCUGGAAAAUUGUGAGGUUUUGGUCAAUUUUAAAGUAAAAAACACCUGGUUGACAAGGCAGGCUGAUUAAUUACCAUCGCAAAACGAAGCCGACAAUUAAACGGCGCACGCAGGUUAACUACGCAAAUCUAGACCAAUAAACUGACGGUAAGCCGACCUUUAAAUUUCUAUGCCCGCUUAAUCUUUACGUAUAUUUGAAAAUUGAUUUCACUCGUNUCAAGUUAUGAUCCGAACAGUGGAUAGGUAUCAAAUAACCGCUAAAACUGAAAAUAGCAAACGAAAAUAGAUUAAAGGCAACCAUAAACUUAAAUCUAAAAACAUAAUAAAAUAGUAAAACAAGCAAAAUAAACUAGAUAAAUGCCCAAGUACAAUUAUAGAAGAAUGUGCAUCAAAAUGCACUAAUCACUUUCCAACUGAAGUGAAUAUGUUUCUCUGAUAUAUAUAUAGUUUUCUUUUAACUUUCUUUCAUAUUUGUUCAUUUUUCAAAACAACAAAUUGAUAUUUCAGUAUUGUUAUUUAGUUAAUCUUGUGUUUAAAGAUUUGUAUGUGUUAACUAACUCAUAGAUUGAACCUAUGUUUGUAGGGAUCAAUGACCCUAAAUCAAUGAACUUGAACCGUAUUAACUGUUCAAUUUAAUAAUUUAUUUAGGAAUAAACAAUUUAAAAUUGUGAUUUAAGGUUUAACGUACCAAAUUUGUCUGUUUUAACUUCAAACUGAUCUAAGGGAUUAUGGAGCUGUCAUGUAAAAUAUUGAAUUAUAUACCAAGGAAAUGAGGUAUAUUAAUAUAAUUAGUGUACAAUUUUUAAUUAAAAAAUUAAAAUAAAAUAUUGACGUCUAAAUAUAAAGAUAUCACCACGGUCCUUAAAAAAUCAUGGUAACGUUGAAUUUGUCUUUUAUAUAUAUAUAUAUAUAUAUAUAUAUAUAUAUAUAUAUAUAUAUAUAUAUAUAUAUAUAUAUAUAUAUAUAUAUAUAUAUAUAUAUAUAUAUAUAUNNNNNUCGUUACUUUUCUCACCAUGCAAAUUCCAACAUGUAUAACUUCGAUCAAUUCCAUGCCUCAUUAGAUGCGAUGUCAACUGAACUGCGUCAACCCGUUUCCCAUAACAACAACCCAAGCAAGGACAUAUCAUUCUACUGGGGUCUUCGGCGUGCGCAACGGCAAACUUAACGAAUUCUGAUACCCCAUUCUCGUACUCUCUCGACAAUCGAUUGGAAGACAUCCAUGUAUUAUCCAUUACUAAUUAGAAUAAAUAAAAAACAAUUUCAGAAGAGUUCAAACACAUUCGGACCUAGGUUUCUAAUGAUACUGGUGUUGACACAAAAUCAGAUGUUCAUAGGUCGUAUAACCCAUUGCAUCCGCAAUCAUGGUCACUAAAAACCAACCGUCAAUUUCCUAGUGCAUCCGCUAUCAUGGUCGAAACAAACGUAGAAGGAGGAAACGCGCAGUAAUAAGGUAAAACAGAAAUUGGGCAAAGCUAAAACAAAGCAAUAACAUAAAACAGUAAUUGGGAAAAGCGUGUACCUUUGAUUGGUAGAAGGAGGAAACGCGCAUGUAGAUCUAACAGAGGUGGAAGGAAAAUGCCUCAGAACCCUAACGUGAAAAAGAACGCUAAUAACAGAUAGUGAAAUAACAAAACGCGCAGUAUGUUAUAAUUUUAAUGUUUACUAAAGGGGACCUUUCCUGCAGCUCUUUCAGCCAUUCUUUGUUCAUGAGAUUCAAGCGUCCCUUGAAGCUCUUCCUUUGUCAGUUUUGAAAAAUCUUUUGACUCUUCUAUGGCUACUACCACGUGGUCGAACUUUGGAGCCAAUGACCUCAAGAUCUUUCCAACAAUAGAUCUUGAUGUAAUUACUUCUCCACAUACCUUCAUUUGAUUCACCAAUUUCAUAACCUUGGUGAAGAAAUCAGUUAUGCUUUCAUUGUCUUCCAUCUGAAGCAAUUCAUACGUUCUUUUGUGAGUUUGUAACCUCACCUGUUUCACCUUCUCUGCGCCUCCAAACGAUUUAUCUAGAAUUUCCCAUGCUUCUUUUGCUGACUUUGCAUCACUAACCUUUUCAAAGUUAUCUGUAUCAACAUAUUGAUGGAUUAUAAAGAGAGCUUUAUAAUCUUUCUUCUUCAAUUCUUUAUGUGUAGCCUUUUCUUGAUCCGUCGCGGCUUCUGCAAGCGUUGCUACUCCUUCCUUCACAAGAUCCCAAAGAUCUUGAUAACAGAACACAACCUUUAUCUGCUUGCACCAAUUCUCAUAAUUGGUGUUCUUGAGAAUCAGAAGAUUUGCUGGAAAAUGCCCGUUUGAAUGAUUCGUUACCAUGGUGAUUUUCUUCCCACGAAACGAUUAAAUCGGAGCUCUUGAUACCAGAUGUUGGAAAUCCCCAAAAAUCUAUGGAGAAUUUCAAUCAAUCUUGAUGGACAAGAUUGUAACUACCCAAACAAUAACAACGAAAAGAGAAGAACAAUGGAGAAAGAAAGAAAGUAAAGAACAAUUAAGGAGAAGAGUAAUAAAAUUCUGCAGAGUUUCUCUCUGCCCACAAACUGUGGAAAACUUUUUAUUCACUUUGCAACUGCAAAAUACUGUGAAUUACAAGUGUUGUGAAUACUCUAAUCACCUCUGUUACAAAAUAAGGGUUACUCCCGCUAUUUAUAUAUUUAGGUUAACUUGGACCUCAAGCCAAGACUCAAAACUAUAAAAGCCCAAAAUAGCUAACACUAUUAAAUAUGUAUAAAUGGUUUGACACUUCCUUAUUUUGUCGAGCAACCAGCUUCGACCCAAGGAAUUACAAUUCAACAAUGCCUUCUUUCUAUAACUGUUACAACAUUAUAAUCAUAGGUUUAAGCUUAGAAAUUGGUAGAAACACAAUUAGUAAGUUGCUCUGAAAUAUUCAAAAAAAGAAAAGGAAAGAAUAUAAUGGAAUGAGAAAAACAUUAAAAACAAAGAAGGUGGUGACUAAAGUUUUUCUUCAACGAUAAGUAGAAUCAUAUUGUGACUCUGAUACCAUAUUCAGAAGUAUGGUUAAGCCCAAAUAAGAGAGAAAUAAAAAUAAAUAAUUAAAUUGUUUAGUAUUUAUGUUGCUUACUUCAAUCACCAUCACUUAAUAUAUUGAUCAUGAUCCAACUUACAAAUCUUAUAACAUUGUAAAGAAUUAAUUAACAAGAACUAUCUAUACAAAAUAAACACUACAAACUAAUUUUAAAACGAUCAAUUCUUUUUUGAGAGGUUUCGUGUUAACAACAACAUUCUGAUCAUGUGAGAGUUGUGUAUUGGGAGGCAAGGUUUAGAUAGGAUAUUAAGAUGAAUGGUUGUAAUUAAGCACAAUUAGAUAGGAUAGGUAAGGAACAAAUUAAAGAUACAUGAACUAGUGGCUGGUUCUAACAGGUCUUCUAUUAAAAUUAAAAGAUGGUAGUACCGAUCUGUUUUCCAAAUACAUGGACCUAGAUGGAAACUUCAUGGAUUGUAACACAAAAUUUGACAUUUAGUAUUGACUUUGUUUGAACUUAGACUUUCAUUGAGCACAUACUACUAUAAAAUUUAUAGUCUUUUUUCUUAGAAUUUAUCUUUUGUUCUGUUUGCAUACUCUACUAAUAUCAAAUCAAGUUAGCUCACCUUAUAAAAAUUGGAUUCAUCUUUUUAUUUGAGUUUUUAUCGAUUUUUGAAAUUCGAGUAUAAAUUGACUUAUCUUAAGUAUUCCUGGUACAAUUCUAAAUUGUUUGAUGUGCUUAAAUAAUAUAAAAAGACUCGUUCACGAUUAGUUUAGUCCAUUAUUUUACCAUUAAUUUUUCUAACAAUCUUAUAGAGGUAAAUAAUGUACGAGACUUUCGUUUCAAUAUAAAGAAUAACUAUUGUGUCAUAGACAUUCUAAACAAGAAACGUCAUUUAAUCAAAUACGUAUUAUUUUUCUUAAAAUUAACACCAAAAUUUUUUAUAAAUCAAGACCAAAUAAAAUUUCUCUAACAAUGAUAUCAGAAUAUAAAUACCCUAUUAUGAUUUUUUUAAUAAAUAUAUUUUAUUAUCAACUUGAUCCAAUUUUUAGAAAAUGAUAUGUAAUUAAAUUGUCUUUUAACAGAUUAUAUACAUAUGAAUGUUAUUGUUGUUAUUUGGUGUUAUAUUCGUUUUGGCUAUUUUGGUGUUAUAUUCGUCUUUGCAUUUUGUUGCUAUGUCUAUUAUUUUGAUGGACAUUUAGUACUUAUAGUCUUUUUUUCAUAUUGACAUACUACUGAUAUCUAAAUCAAGUAGUCCACCUCUAGUAUGUGAGGUUUUAGAUGGAAUACCUCUCUUCAACAAAAUUUCAGAUUUCAUAUUUCACAUUUGAGGAUUUAUCGUCUUUACAUCCGAGUAUAGUAGAUUAUCUUGAGUAAUAUGUUAUCAAAUUCUAAAUAAUUUGAGAGUGCUUAAAAUCUAAAAAGUGAUUUGUUCAUGUUCUAUAUCAGUCCAUUUGUUUUUACAAUUGAUUUUUUCAUAAUCUUAUAGUCGGUAAUAAAUGUACGAGACUUCAGUUUCAAGUAUUAAAAAUAAACUAUUGUGUCAUAGACACAUUCUAAAUCAAGAACAUCAUUCAAAUCCAGGUAGGUAUUAUUUUUCUUAAAAUUAGAACAUUUAAAAUUAUAAUAUCAAGAUUUGAAUAAAUAUUGCUCUAACAAGAAUAUUAGGCAUGAAUACCUAUAUUUAGAUUUUUUAGAUAAUAAAUAUAACUUAUUAUAUGAAUGAUCUUAAAAUUAGGAAAUGAUAGAGUAUUAAAUUUUGGCUUUUACGGAUUAUAUAUAUAUAGUAUAAAAAUAUUAAUAUAUAUAUAUAUUAUUAUUAUAUAUAUUAUUAUAUUUUAUAUAUAUAUCUAUUAUAUAUAUAUGACUAUGUAUAUAUAUUAUAUAUAUGAUGGAUCAGUUGACAUCAGGUACAAUAUUAGGGAUAGUGAUUUGAGAGUUACAUCUGCAUAGAGUGUGCAGUGCAUUGAAUAGCGUUAAGUGUUAAUUAGAGGCUCACACUAGGCCAUGCCAGAUCAGAGUACGCAAGGGAUAGUAUUUAGUGCUCUUCAGAUGGUGUCACUUUGUUCCUCUUUAUUUCUCUCUGCACGCCCUUCUCUCUCUCUCUUCUCUCUCUCUUCUGGUCUCUCUCUCUUUCUCUUCUUUCUCGACUAGCCCAUCUGACAGCUUGUUUCUUAACACUUUCCAAACACCCUCAUUUCAUCAGUGUGUCAUCCAAUGAUGUAACACAACCCGAAAUUUCAUAUAACCGAGAAACCCUAUUUACUAGUACGAUACUUAAUAACCUAACUAAAGUAGACCUACCCAUUUCAACUAUCCAACCCAGUUAUUCCUUAUGAAUUAAAUAAGUGAUACAACCCUAACCCUUUUAGGAACCUGAUCCCCUACUUGAACACCUAAAUAACUUAGUUCCUUCCAAAUCACCAGACAAGGCAUAACCUAGAUCCACAACAUGAAUCGACAGACGCGAACAGAAAAUUCAUACAGAAAUCCCAUCUGAUCUACACCUUCUUAUGGCCUAUACCAAAGACUCACCCAGUCAACCUUAAACAACACACAACUAGAUACACCUUACAAGAAUAAAAAUCAAUCAUGUAUGGUGAAAGAGUAUAACUGACGAAGGAGCUACUCUGUUUAGAAGUAAGUCUUUUUCUGCUUCUCCUUUUUUUUAUAUUCUUUCCUACACCUUUUUCUUUCAUUAACAAUAGCAAUUCAUGACGCGUUCACCUCCGUAUUAAACGUGAUAUAUUCAGGAUGCGCCCGUGUUUUUUUAUAAAAAACUAUAUAUAUAUUACGUCGGUUAUUUUGAAACCGAGGGUAAAUUUCGUUACAUGAUUUAAAUCCCAUCGAUCCGUCUGUUAUAGUUUUAUUCUCUUAAGAAUGGCGACUUAUUGAUUUUAUUUUAAUCUUAAAGUACGUACUUUAUUCUCGGUUUUCUUUCCCAUGAAGUGAUUAAUAUAUUUAUAUAUUAAUAUAUUAUAUUAUAUAUAUCUUACUUUACAUCCAUUUCUCAUUUGUUCUAAACAACAACAACCGUUACGAGAUCCUAAAGGAGAGCAUAACACAUCUAUCUUGAUAUGAUGUAUGUGUUAUGUACUCUCGUUUCUUCUUCAGAGAUCUCAUUCGGUCUUUUAUUUGCUUUAAGACUUGGUACGUCAAAUCUCAUCUACUAUAUUGUUGUUGUUGUUGUUUUGUUGAUUGUUUGGUUUUGUUGUUUCGUUGUUGUGUUUAUGUUGUUGUUGUUGUGUUGUUUUGAUGUGUUGAGAUCUGAACUUAAUUUUUCUUUUUUUGUUUUUUUUUUUUUUUUAUUUUGUUAUUGAUUUGUGUUGAUGUUCUUAGUUGUGAUAUUGUUAACCUGAGCGGUUGUUUAUUACGUUGUUGUUUUAUUGGCGUUAUUAUCUUGAUUUUCUUUUGUGUUGUUGUUGUUUUUUUCUUGUUGUGUUGUUGAUGUUGAUAUUGAUAUUAUGAUUUUUUGAUUUUUCUAACUCUAGUCUGUUCUAUCGAGUUGGCUUAUUAUUAUCUAAUGUCGAUUGUUUAUUUCACUAACCCUUUUUGAUAUAACUUAUAAAUUGAUUUGAUAAUAUUAUAAUGUCAAUUAUUUUGUAUCGGAAAACUUAUCUCUAUACUGCAUUAAUGACUUUCUAGCUUCUACAACUCAUCUUCAUCUCCCUAUUAUUUUAAUAGUUAAAAUUUUAAAUACUUAUAGUUUUCUUUUCAACUUCUUCAUUUGUCCAUUUUCAAAACAACAAAUGUAUUUCAAUUUGUUAUUUAAUUAUCUUGUGUUUAAAGAUUUGUAUUGUGUUAACUAACUAUAGAUAUGGACCUAUGUUUGUGUCAAUAGCCUAAUCAAUGAACUUGAACCGUAUUAACUGGUAUACUUGUAAUUUAUUUAGGAAUAAACCAAUUUAAAAUUGUGAUUUAGGUUUAACGUUACCAUAUUUGUCUAUUUGACUCNNNNNNNNNNNNNNNNNNNNNNNNNCAUAAGUUUCUUAAUUCUUCUGAUUUUCUGGACAAUCACUAGAAUAGUGACCAUACCUUUGACAAUUGUAACACUGAAUGUGACUCUUGUCUGGAUUUUGACCACCACCUCUUCCUUUACCUACAACACCACCUCUUUGGUUGUCUUGGUUCCAGGGUUUUCUCUUAUUUGACCAGUUUCUUUCUUGCUGAUUUCGACCAGUCGAAUUGUUGUAACCUCAUCUGCCUUUAUUUCCAUUCCAGCUACCUUUGUCUUUUCUUUCUUUUGUUGAUUGAGCCUGCAAAGCCGUAUCACUCUUCGACUUUCCUGCAGCUCUUUCAUCCAUUCUUUGUUCAUGAGAUUCAAGCGUCCCUUGAAGCUCUUCCUUUGUCAGUUUUGACAAAUCUUUUGACUUUUUUAUGGUUAUUACCACGUGGUCGAACUUUGGAGCCAAUGACCUCAAGAUCUUUCCAACAACAGAUCUUGAUGUAAACACUUCUCCGCAUACCUUCAUUUGAUUCACCAAUUUCAUAACCUUGGUGAAAAAAUCAGUUAUGCUUUCAUUGUCUUCCAUCUGAAGCAAUUCAUACGUUAUUUUGUGAGUUUGUAACCUCAUAUCUUUCACCUUCUUUCAUUGUCUUCCAUCUGAAGCAAUUCAUACGUUAUUUUGUGAGUUUGUAACCUCAUAUCUUUCACCUUCUUUGCGCCUCCAAACGAUUUCUCCAGAAUUUCCCAUGCUUCUUUUGCUGACUCUGCAUGACUAACCUUUUCAAAGUUAUAUGUAUCAACAUAUUGAUGGAUUAUAAAGAGAGCUUUAUAAUCUUUCUUCUUCAAUUCUUUAUGUGUAGCCUUUUCUUGAUCUGUCGCAGCUUCUGCAAGCGUUACUACUCCUUCCUUCACAAGAUCCCAAAGAUCUUGAUAACAGAACACAACCUUUAUCUGCUUGCACCAAUUCUCAUAAUUGGUGUUCUUGAGAAUUAGAAGAUUUGCUGGAAAAUACCCAUUUGGAUGAUUCGUUGCCAUGGUGAUUUUCUCCCCACGAAUCGAUUAAAUCGGAGCUCUUGAUACCAGAUGUUGGAAAUCCCCAAAAACCUAUGGAGAAUUUCAAUCAAUCUUGAUGAACAAGAUUGUAACUACCCACACAAUAACAACGAAAAAAGAAGAACAAUAGAGAGAAAAAGAAAGUAAAGAAAAUGAUAUAGUAAUUAAAUUUUGUCUUUUAACAGAAUUAUAUACAUAUGAAAUGUAUUGUUGUUAUUUGGUGUUAUAUUCGUUUUGGCUAUUACUUGGUGUUGUAUUCGUUUUGACAUUUUGUUAUUGCUAUGUCCUAAUUAUUUUGAUGGACAUUGUUACGUACAUUAUAGUCUUUUUUUCAUAUUGACCAUACUACUCAAUACUAAAUCAAAGUUAGUCCACCUCUAGUAUGUGAGGGUUUUAGCAUGGAAUAUACCUUCUUCAUACAAAAUUUCAGGAUUUCAUAUUUCCUACAUUUGAGUAUUUAUCGGUCUUUACAAUCUCGAGUAUAAGCAGAAUUAUCUUGAGUAUUUAUGUGCACAAAUUCUAAAAUAAUUUGAGAGUGCUUAAAAUACUAUAAAAAAGUGAUUUGUUCAUGAUUCUAGUAUCAGUCCAUUUGUUUUACAAUUGAUUUUUCUAAUAAUCUUAUAGUGGGUAAAAUAAUUGUAACGAGACUUCAGUUUCAAGUAUUAAAAAAUAAACUAUUGUGUCAUAGACACAUUCUAAAUACAAGAAUCAUCAUUCAAAAUCCAGGUAGGUAUUAUUUUUCAUAAAAUUAGAACAUUGUAAAAAUUAUAAUAUCAAUAUUCUGAAUAAAAUUUCUCUAACAAAUGAUAUUAGAGCAUGAAUACCUAUAUUAUGAUUUUUUGAUAAUAAAUAUAUACUUUAUUAUAUGAAAUUGAUCUUAAAAAUUUAGGAAAUGAUAGAGUAAUUAAAUUUUGUCCUUCUGUAACGGGAAUUAUAUAUAUAUGAUUAGUAUAUACUAUAUAAAUAUAUAUAUAUAAUAUUAGUAUUAUAUAUAUUAAUAUAUAUUAUAUAAUAUAUAUAUAUAUAUAUUACUAUAUAGCUGAUAUAAUAAGUCAUUACCUCUAUAUAUUAGGAUAUAUUAGGAUAGCAUAUAUAUAAUACCAUUAUAUCAUGUGGAUAGCUUAUCUCAACACGGUGCAACAUGAUUAGAGAUGUCGCUUGAGGGUACAUCUGCACGAGAGUGUGCGCAAUGUGCAUUGAAAUAGGUUAAAGUAUGAAAAUUAGCAGAGCUCGAUACCACAUGCGCGCAGGAUCAGAGGUCACGCAAGGGAAGUAUUUAAGUGAACUCUCUCCAGAGUUCACUUGUUCCGUCCUCUUAUUUCUCUCUGCACCUCUUCUCUCUCUCUCUCUCUCUCUCUUCCCUCCUCGCUCUCCGUCUCUCUCCUCGUCUCUUCGCUCUCUCUCUCUCCCUAGCUAGCCCAUCCUGAGCCACCAGUGGUUUUUCCUAAACCACCUUCCCAAACCACCUCAUUCAUACAGUUCCAUCCAAUGAUGAACACCAAAACCCGAAUCUCAUAUAACACAGAGAAACCUAUACUCUAAGUACGGCAUAACCUUAAUAACCCAGACCCCUAAGAUGAACCUAACCCAAUUUCAACUAUCCAAACCCAGAUUCCUUAUGAACUCUAACAACAUUGAUACGAACGCCUAACCCCUUUAGGAACCCUGACCUAACCUUGAACCAACCUAAAAAUAAUUAAGGUAAGUUCCUUCCAAAUACACCCAGAACAAGCAUCAAACCCUAGAUCCAAACAACAUGAACAUCGAUCAAAACAUCGAACAGAAAAUUCAACUAGAAAAUUCCCAAUCCUAGAAUCUAACCACUCUUAUGCCUAAACCUAAACAUCAAACCUUAAACAACAAACACAACACGAAUCAACACUCUUCACAAGAAUAAAAAAUAACACAUCAUGUAUGGUGAAAAGGAAGUACUAACCUACGAAGAUGAGACCUUCACCUGUUUAGAAAGGUAAAGUCUUUCUUCUUCUCCUUCUUCUUUAAUUUCUUUCCUACACCUUUUUCUUCACUACUACAAAUAAUACUUCAUGACGACGAUUUCACCUCACUGUAUUAAAAACCAGAUAUAAUUCCAGGAUGCGCCCUGUUUUUUUAUAUAAAAUAUAUAAUAUAUACGUCGGUUAUUUUGAAACACCGAGGUAAAACAUAUUCAGUUAUCAUGAUUAAAAUCCCAAUCAUCCUCCUGUUUAUAGUUAUCUCAAUUAAGUGGCGACUUAUUGAAUAUUUUAUUGUUAAUGCUAAAAGUACGCUACUUUUCAUCUCGGUUUUUCUUUCCGACUGAAGUGAAUAUAAUAUAUAUAUAGAUUAUAUAGUAUAUAUAUAUAUAGUAUAAUAUAUUAUAUUAUAUAUAUAUAUAUUAUAUAUAUAUAUAUUAUAUAUAAUAUAUAUAAUAUAAUAUAUUAUACUAGUAUAUAUAUGUAUAUAUAUAUACUUAAUAUUAUUUCCCUUGUAUCCAAUUUCUUUGUCUAAACAACAUAAACAAAACCUUAACGAGAUCCUAAACAAUGAGAGCCAUAAACACAUACCAUCUUGAUAUGAGAUGUUAUGUGUUUAGUACUCUGUUUCUUCUUCAGAGAUCCAAAUCAUUUCCUUUUAUUUUCUUCAGAGUCUGGUACGUCAAAUAUCACUACUAAUAUUGUUGUUGUUGUUGUUAUUGUUGUUGUUUUGGUUGUUGUUGUUGUUGUCGUUGUUGUUGUUUAUGUUGUUGUUGUUGUGUGUUGUUUGAUGUUGUUGAGAUCUGAAACUUUAGAAUUUUCUUGUUAUUUGUUUUUGUAUUGAUUUGUUUGUUUGAUGUUCUUAUUGUUGAAUAUUGUAAACCCUAGAGGUUGUUUUUGACGUUGUUUGUUAUUGGCGUUAUUACUGUUGAUAUUCUUGUUGUUGUUGUUGUUGUUUUUUUUCUUGUUUUGUUGUUGUUGAUGUUGAUAUUGAUAUUAUGUUUUUUAGAUUCUUUCUACAACUCUCAUCUUGUUCUAUCGAGUUGAGCUUAUUAUAUCUAAUGUCGAUUGUUUAUUUCACUAACCCCUUUUUGAACAUAUAACCUAAUAAAUUGAUUUUGUAAUAAUCAUAUGCAAAAUUAUAUGUAUCGGAAACUUAUCUUAUACUGAUUAAUGACUUUCUAGCAUUCUACAAACUCAUCAUUCAUCUCUCUAUUAUUUUAUAGUUAAAAUCUUUACAUAUAGCUUAAUCAGUUUGUCUUCAAGCUGUUCUUUCAUAUUUGUCCAUUUUUCAAAACAACAAAUUGAUAUUUCAAUAUUGUUAUUUAAUUAAUCUUGUGUUUAAAGAUUUGUAUGUGUUAACUAACUCAUAGAAUGAACCUAUGUUUGUAGGGAUCAAUGACCCUAAAUCAAUGAACUUGAACCGUAUUAACUGUUCAACUUAGUAAUUUAUUUAGGAAUAAACAAUUUAAAAUUGUGAUUUAAGGUUUAACGUACCAUAUUUGUCUAUUUUAACUUCAAACUUAUCUAAGAGAUUAUGGAGCUGUCGUGUAAAAUAGUGAGUUAUAUACUAAGAAAAUGAGUUUUAUUAAUAUAAUUAAUGUACAAUUUUUAAUUAAAAAUUAAAAUAAAAUAUUGACGUCUAAAUUUAGAGAUAUGACCACGGUCUUUCAAAAAACCGUGAUAACAUUGAAUUUGUUGUAUAUAUUUUUUUGUAGCAGUGACUUCUUUACUACGAACCACCAACUAUGAUAAAACUUUUUUCACAACCAGUGUGAUAUAUUUUUUUUACCACACUAAAAUCAAAAUGAAUAUUUUUUACCACACUCUAAAUCUCCGUAGCAAGAUUACAAUUUGACCACUGUUUUGUAAAUUGUUGCUAAUCUGAUUUGCUACAAUUUUAGUAAAUAUAAGUAAUAUAUGGUAUUAAUUGUAUUUUCCACGAUGUUUAUGCCAAUAUCUUAAAACAAUAUUAUAAUAUGAGAUGGAUAAUAUUAUGAACAGAUGAAAGAUUACCACAAAAUCUCAAAUGCAUAAACUUUAUUUAUUUGUAAAUAGGAGAACAAAACACAACUUUCUCUCAUGAUUUAUAUUCAUUCCACAUGUAUAAUGCUCUCCUAUCAUGGUAAACUGAUACAAAAUAAAAAUAGAUAUAAAACGAAGGGAUUAAACCCAUAAGUACGUAGGCAAAGUCAAGCAUGGUAACUAAUUGCUAAAUAGCACCACUUAUUUAAUAAAAUAUAUAUUAAUAUGCUUUGUUGGACGCAUGAUUUAGAUAUGAAUUUUAUCUGCUGGAAUUUUUCUAUGAUAUGGUGGCUUAGAAUCAGUUGGUAGUUUGUAAGGACGGGGUGAAGAUGCAUAAAGUGGAUCAAUUUUAUUAUCAGUUGGUGAUGGAUGAGGAGGAGUAAAAUGAUGAAAAAUAUGAUGAAGAUGAGGAGGAAGAUGAUGAAAUAUAGGUGGAAAAGAAACAGAAAGUCCAUGAGGAACAAGGAUAAGGGAAGCAAGGAACAACACUUGUAAGGAUUGAUAAAAGGAGGCCAUAUUUGAAGUUGUGAUUUGUGUGUGCAUAACAUAUAUGGGAUAACCAAGUUUUAUACUAAUCAAGUGCAUAACACUCUUAGGUCUCCAUUGGAUUUUUCUGUGUUGAUUAUUCAAAAAUGUACCACUAUUAUGGCCCAUCGGAUUGUUACAAGUUAUCACUCUAACCAUAAAUGACGACAUGGUUUUAAAACUGUAUAAUUGCUACGGAAGUUAAUUGACUAGCUUAUUAUUUGUGUCCAUUACUUUCUAUUCCAUCGUUUGGUAUCAACUCUAUCUUUCUUGUCCCUAUGCCACUCAAAAAUAAUUUCUUUUUCAUAUUUAUAACAAGUAAGUUGUAUACUUUUUUGAUAAGAACACAAAUUCAGAUAAGUCAUGACAAUACAAUAUCAUAAUUUUCAAAAUAGUUUUUAAAUUUGAGAGGGGAAGUGUGAUUUUUUUGUCUCUUUUAAUUUUUAAUUUUUUUAACUCUCCCCACAAAAUGCCAUUGUUUUGACGAGUUAAAAAUAUAUAUAAAAUGAUCAAUUAGUUGAUUCAAAAAAUUCACCGGUUAAAUGGUUGGACCGGUGAACCGGUUGAGUCACACCGAUUUUCACCAACUAGGGUCCUAUGAAUUUACCGAACUACUUUAUCCUUUGGUUCUCGAUCUAACAUGUUGUUACAUUUGAUAUGAGUCAUUUUAAUAGGCCGCAUUUAAAGCAAGAUGUUAUGACAUUGUUUGAGACAUUUUGUCUCUAUGAGAUCAAAUCAGGAGGCAACAUGUGUAACAUGUGUAGCAAGAUGUUCCACAGAUUGUGAGACAUUCUGCCUCAUCCAGAAGUCAAUCAUCAUAAAGUAAAUCUCGUGCCUUAUGAAUGUUUGUUUCCAUUCUUGUUCAAUCUUGCUUAUUUGUUUCAUGUACUUUUUGGAAUAUGGAAUUUUUCCCAAAAGAUCAAUUUCCAGGAAUUAAAAAGAAAAAAUAUGAUUGUUGAAGAUUUAUCAAAUCAAAGAUUACAAAUCAACUUAAUGAAGAAUAGAUUCUUACAGUUAUGGAUUUGCUUCAGCCACACGAAAUGAUAUUGUCGUAUCUCAAAAAAUGUGAUCCUUCCCGAUGGUCGCGGAAAAAAAAUGAUUUGAACAGAGUCGUCACCGAACUUUAUUUAUUCCAUUGAAGGAAAUGUAAAAUAUCGAUAAAACCCUUAAAAACAGAAAAUGGUCGUCGCAACCAAAUUCAGGUCCGGGAGACGAUUACACAAGGGGAAGAUAUUAGCACCCCUCAUGUCUGUUAUACUCAACGAGAACCUUUUAGUUAAACUUGCGAUUGAAUGUUAGCUAAUUUUAAUUGUUUUCUUCUAAUGGUAAAAAGUUUUAAAAGAAAAAGAAACGAAACCGCAAAAAGUUUUUUCCUAAUGGGUCUCACAAGAUUGCGGGUCUUGCUUCUACGUAUCUCUAGGUGCGAUGGGGAGCUCAAUUCUAUGUAGGUCUGGGUAACACAGAAGAUAUUUUUGGUAUUUUUUGGUUAUAGUGCUUGAUGAGACGAUGAAUCUCGCUCCUACGUAUCUCUAGGUGCGUUGAGAACUCAAAGCUACGUAGUUCUUUGUAGAAAAUGAGUUUUGCUUGAUUGAUUUUAAUGAACAAGUGUUUAGGUCGCAUUCUGACGGUUAAACAUUGGCUUGCUUGCUCGUGGGGGAGGAUUUACACUACUAGAAAAUUCGCUUAUAGUGACUGAUUUAGUGACUAAAAAAUUUCGGUAACUUUAGCCACUGAAUUAGCCACCAAACUUUGACAUCAUGUUAGUAAAAAUUUUUAAGUCGCUAAAUCGAUCACCAAAUAAAAUUAGCCAACGAAUUAUUGACUGAAAUUUUGUGACCAUAAUAUUCAAUGAUCGAAAUUUCGGUCACUAAUAAUUUUGGUGGUUUUCUUUUUUAGUUACUAUUUAUCUCCCAAUUCUCUCAAUUUUUAAAUAUUUUAUGUUUAUCCUAAUUUUUAGGCUUUAGUCAAACUUUCAAUUUUUGUUCUUAUAACAUAUAAACAUAUAUUUUAUAUAAAAAAAUUGAUGAACAAAAUUUAUUAAUUUAAUAAGAAAAUGUAAUUUAAAUGACAUUAUAAUAAUUUAAAUAUAUUCUAAUAAUAUAGACGAGUUUAAAUAUGAAAUUGACAAUUGUUGUGAUGUGUCCCAUGUAGCAUGGUAUUCUAUAACCCAAGGGUGUGAGUUUGAUACUUGCAUGAGACAAUUAUUUUUAUUUAACUUUUAAUUUCUUUAACACACUAAAAUGGUUGUUUAAAUCGGUUCACUAUAUUUUCGAUCACUGAAAAUGGUGUUAUAAUGAUUGAUUUUUAAGCUAUUUCGGUCUCUAAUUCAGUCACUAAAUACCAAAUUUUUAGUAGUGUAAGCUCUAGUUUGUAUUCGCAUUAGAAGGGACUAAACAAUGUUCUUUCUAAAAAGGAUUUCAAUCACACAAGGGCGAGAAAAGAUUGGUUUGAUUGGUUUCGACCGCACAGAGGCGAGUAAAGAUAGGUUUGAUGUGUUGAAUAUUUUUUAGAAGGGGACGAAGAAUGUUCGAGGAAUAUGGAGCGCCCCAAUUAUUUGAUUAUUCGAGGGAUAGUGAGGCGAGCGCCCCUAUUCCUAUUUCGUCCAAUUUGAUAUUUGAAUUUUUUUUUACGGAAGUCGAAUAUUCGCGGUAGUGAGGCGAGCGCCUCCCACUUGCUUAUUCGAGGAAUAAUGAGGUGUGUGUCACCUAUUCCUUUAUCCAAUUGUGAUGGGGCGCGUAGCUUUUAUUGGAAAGAGAGGAUUCCUAGUCACGUGAAAAUGGAUAGCAUAUCCUUCAACUUUUGCUUCCAUCAUUUUCUUUUCUUUUACUUAUACUUUUAUUCUUUUGAAUUUUUUGAUUGGUGGAUAUAAAAACACAUGGAUAGCCAAGUUUGGACCAUUGAUCAAAAUCAAUUUAACAACUAGGAUUAAAAUAAAGAAACACAAAUUAUCAAUCAAUUUAAAAUGACUAACUUGUCCCUUCUAGAUUCUUAAUGAGAUUAGAAUGAAAUUAAUUCAAUUAAGAUAAACAAAAUUCACACACUUUAAAAUAAACGUUAUAAAGUAAAAAUAAAAGGACUUUAAAUGAAUAAAAAAUGCGCUUAAAAAUGCUCGAAAAAUUAAAAUGAAUGCACUAAAAUGACCAGUACAAAAUAAACUUCUGGAAAAUUGACAGGUUUUGUUGUCAAACUUUUAGUAAAAAACGACCUGUCCCGCGGUGGAAAGCGUCCCAGGCUGAUUAAAAUACCAUCGCAAAAGAAGCAGAACAAUUAAACGAGCACGCCAGGUUAAACUACGCAAAUCGUAGAUCAAUAAAACUGACGUCUGUAAGCCCGACCUUUAAAUUUUAUGCCCGCUAAUUUUACGUAUAUUUGAAAAUUGAUUCAACUGGUCUUUCUGUAUAUCUGAAAAUUUAUUCUGGCAAAUAUUUUAGGAAUUAUGCAUGAUGAAAGACAUGUUAUCUUAUGUAGAUGAUGCAAAGUGAAGAAAAGUCGGAUAUAUGAAAGUUUUAAAAUUCUCAGAGAAAAUUGAGGUAUGACAGAUACAUACCCUAAUAGGCUAGCAACUAGAUUUUGUUUCUAUUUAAGAAGGAUCCCUCUAUGUAAAGACUUAAAACUUGAGAAACAAGCAAGACGUGUUUUAGCUGUGCGGUUCCUUUUGUUUUGGUUUUAUGUUUUGUAUUGUUAAACUCUAUUCACUAGUCACAUUCCAAUAUAGAAGAAUAGAGUUUAUUUUGAGUUGUAAUUAAUUUCAUCAUUCAUAAAAUAUUGUAAUUGUUCAAACACUUGGGAGAGUGCUUGAGAAAAAGUGAGAGGGGUUUUGCAUUCAGGUGCUGAAUAAGAUUUCAUGGCUAGUACUUAAGAACAAGAGGUGUUUGCAAACUAUAAGGCGGUCAACCUAUACCAUUUGUACGUUUACUAUUAAGAGUGGAUUUUCUCUCUUAGGUUAACGCCCUCUAGACGUAUGUGACUUUGCACUGAAGUGCAUUAAUAAUUCCUCGUGUCCAUUUACUUGCAUUCUUAUUUUAUUUGUUAUUGCAUUAAUCUUAUCAUACACAUUGUCCCAGACAUUGUGUCUUCCAUAUUUCCAUUAGACGAACAAAACAUCAAUUGGCAUCAGAGCAAGCACCCUAUUCUGGUGAAGUGAGCUCUAGGGAUAUACACAUUUUCUUCAAAAUUGACAAUGCUAAGGAAGAAGGAUUUGUGAAUCGUCCACCUAUCUUAUAUGGAACGAAAUAUGAUUAUUGGAAAUCCUGCAUGGUUUCCUUUCUCAAAUAUAGUGAUAACAAAACAUGGAAGGAAGUAAUCCAAGGAUGGACACCCCCAAAUGGUUACUACACAAGAUGGAACAAAACCCAUGAAGCCAAAGAAGAUUAUUCUAAAGAAGAAGGUGAAGAAUGAAAUGGUAAUUUUUGAGCUCUCAACGCCAUAUUCAAUAGAGUUGACAAAAAUAGCUUUAGACUCAUGUAAUACCCCAAAAUUUACCCUCCAUUUUUCCUGGAGGCAUGGGAUUAUGUUUUACACUUCAUUAGCAUCAUAUUAGGUCAUACUCAUUGCAUACUGCAUUAGUGACAUGGAGAUCAGGUUUUGAUCGAUCACUCCUUAACAGAAUGAUUCGAACAGAGUCGUCACCGAACUUAUUUAUUCCAUUGAAGAAAAUUGUAAAAUAUCGAUAAAACCCUUAAAAACAGAAAAUGGUCGUCGUAACCAAAUUCAGGUUCGGGAGUCGAUUACAGCAAGGGAAGAUAUUAGCACCCUCAUGUCUAUUAUAUCAACGAGAAUCUUUAGUUAAACUUGCGAUUGAAUGUUAGCUAGUGUUAAUUGUUUUCUUCGAGUGGUAACAAGUUUAAAAAGAAACAGAAAGGAAACCACAAUUUUUUAUUAAUGGACCUGACAAGAUUGCGGGUCUUGCCCCUACGUAUCUCCAGAUGCGAGGAAAACUCAAGGCUACAAGUUCUAGACAAGACAAAAGUUAAUUUUGGUGUUUUUAGUUAUAGUUCUUAACGAGACGAUAAUCUCGCUCAUACGUAUCUCUAGGUGCGAGAAACUCAAACUACGUAUGUCUUGGUAGCAAAUGAGUUUUGUCUGAUUGAUUUAAUGUACAAGUUGUUAGGUGCAUUCUAACGGUUAAACAUUGGCUUGUUUGCUCGGUCGGGGAGACUUAAGCGCUAGUUAUAUUUCACAUUAGGAGAGAAUAAACAAUAUCCUUUUGAAAAGGAUUUCGAUCGCACGAGGGCAAAAACAUAUGUUUGAUAGGUUUCGAUCGCAUGGAGUGAGAAAAGAUAGGUUCUGAUGUAUUGAAUAUUUUUUAAGGGACGACGAAAAGUUCGAGAAUAUGCGCGACCCCAAUCGUUUGAUUAUUUGAGGGAUAGUGAGGCAGGUUCCCUCCAUUCCUUUUUUGUUCAAUUUGAUAUAUAUAUUUUUUACAGAAGUCGAAUAUUCUCCGUAGUGAGGCGAACGCCUCCCACUUGAUUAUUCGAAGAAUAAUGAGACGUGUGUCACAUAUUCCUUUAUCCAAGUUUAUUUAGAGUGUUUUAAUCGGAAGACAAAAAUUCGAGCAAUAUGGCGAACGCCUCCCAUACCCUUUUUCAUCUGAAGUUUAAUUAAGAAAAAGAUUUAACCGCUUCUAGUAAGUGGAAAAGAAACUUGAUGUUGAUCGAUUGUUUGUCGCGUUAGUGGAACCUGAUUUGUGAAAUGGUUUGAGAUUGGUUUUUUAAAAAAGUUUGAAAACAUCAUUUCUUCCAUAAACGAAACUCGAGAACAUCAUUUUUUUCAUAAACAAAUUUCAUAACUCCAUCACAUAUUCUCCAACUUGAAUGAGACAAGGAAAACAUGGAUUCAACUUAGCAAUGUUAGUUAUUGUUGUUGUUCUUGUCGUUGUUAUUGUUGUUCUUCUUGUUGUUGUUAUCAUUGUGGUUCUUAUUCUUAAUAAUCUUGUUGUAGUUCUUGUUAUUCUAGUUUUUUCUCUUGUUGCUUUUGUCAUUGUCGUUGUUGUUAUUGUUGUUGUUGUUGUUCUACUACUAUAUUUUAUUUUAUUAAAAGACAUACAUCAAUAGUUGUUUAAAGUAACUAUUAUGGUAGGUUAAGACAUACAACAACGGUUGUUUAAAGCAACAACAAUUGUGAUAGGUUGCAUACCACUUGACUUAUAAUCACAGUCGCACGACUGUCGUGAAAAUAAUCAUACAUACAAUCACAUCUUACCUCACAAUAGUUGAUCAAAUGUGAUGAUAUCCAUUUUCCAACUGUUAUGAGAGGUGUUUUCCAUAGUAGUGAUCUAGGAUACUCGCUAAGCGAGUUAGAAACUGCUUAGCCAGAGUCUCGUUAUAAAACAUUGGGAACAGAUAUCAGAAUAUAAUUCACUCUUAAUAAAACACUCCCACACAUUUUUCACUCUAUCCAUUUGUGAAAUAAAUCCUAGAAAGGAAUGAGAAGUUCUCUCACACUACUUAAUUUCAAGAAAACAUCACUAAAUCAACUCUUCCUCCUUUAGUUUUAGAGUAACUCACGUAAGUUAAUCAAUUACAAAUCUCUACAUUGCUUUUCUCUACAUACAAAAAAGAACAAUGAUUCAUAUCAUUAUUAUUUUCUUAACUUAGAAAUCAAAUAGGGAUAACAUGAUAGAACAAAUUGAUUGUUGUUAUUUUCAUGUUGAGAAAUAAUAUAUGCCUGUUGGAAAUCCCCUAAAAUCUAUGGAGAAUUUUAAUCAAUCUUGAUGAACAAGAUUGUAACUACCCACACAAUAACAACGACAAGAGAAGAACAAUGGAGAAGUAAAGAAAGUAAAGAACGAUGAAGGAGAAGAGUAAUAAAAUUAUGCAGAGUUUCUCUCUACCCACAAACUGUCGAAAACUUCUUAUUCACUUUGCAACUGCAAAAUACUGUGAAUUACAAGUGUUGUGAAUACUCUAUUCACCUCUAUUACAAAAUAAGGGUUACUUCCUCUAUUUAUAGAUUUAGGUUAACUUGGACCUCAAGCCAAGGCCCAAAAAUAUAAAAGCACAAAACUAUAAAAGCCCAAAAUAACUAACACUACUAAAUAGGUAUAGGUGGUUUGACACUUCCUUACUCUGUCGAACAACCUGCUUCGACACAAGGAAUUAUAAUUCAACACACCACCUAAUUCAUUGUGUCUAAGCUAUCUACAUUCAUCAUAGCUCUUAGUCUUCUGAACACUUUGAUAUGUACUCCCUUUGUCAUGACGUCUGCAAUCUGAUUCUCAGUUCUGCAGUGUUCCACAUUGAUCUUCCCAUCUGCUACCUGCUCUCGAAGAUAAUGGAACCUCAUUUUGAUGUGCUUGCUUCGACCAUGUGCUAUCGGAUUCUUCGCCAUAUUGAUAUCUGACAUACUGUCGAUCUUCAUGGUAAUUUCUUCACGACUCUUCAUUGUUAUCUCUUCGACCGGAUUCACCAUCCAUGUUGCUUGACAUGCACAAAGAGAAGCAGCUAUGUAUUCUGCUUCGCACGACGAUAAUGCCACUACUGGCUCUUUUCUCGAACUCCAAGCAACUGGUGCACCAUCUAGCGUAAACACAUAGCCAGUUAUUGAUUUUCGAUCCUCAAUAUCACUACACCAACUUGAGUCAGUGUAUCCCACUAAUUUGCAUUCUUUUCCUUCACCAUCUACAGGAAACAAAAUGCCAUAGUCGAGAGUUCCUUUCAGAUACCUUAGUAUCCUCUUCGCUGCUGCUAGAUGUGAUACCUUUGACUUCUUCAUGAACCUACUCACCAUACCUACACUGUAUGCUAAGUCAAGCCUUGUGUGACAAAGGUAUCAAGGUGACCCAAUAAGUCUUUUGUGUUGGGUUGGAUCGACAUCAUCUUCAUCUGAAUCUUUCGACAGUUGUAAUCUGGGCUCAGCUGGAGUCCGAAGUUGGGUUGGCAAUCUGCAUCUCAUUUCUUUGAGAAUUUCUCCUACAUACCUUCUUUGAUGCAUCAUCAAACCUCUACCACUCUUGUAGAAUUCGAUGCCAAGGAAAUAUGAAAUGUCACCAGAAUCUGACAUUUCAAAUUCCUUGUUGAGAUCAGCUUUGAAGUCUUCAAUCUCCUUCUUGCAACUACCUGUUAUCAACAGGUCAUCAACAUAGAGGCAUAGUAUAAGCAAUUCAUGUUGGUGUAAGCCCUAGAGGCCAUACUUUUGGUACUUGUAUCGAAUUAUUUAUUAAUAAUAAAAGGCAUUUUCUUUAUUAUGGUUGAUUAAUAAAGUCCUAGAAUAGAUAGUCCGUUUAAUGUAUUAAGUGUGACUUAAUCAUGAGAACACUUAAACAUAAGGGCAUGUUCUUAAAGUAUCCGUAGUCGAGCUUUAAUGUGAAGUGGGUAAACAUUAAAGCAUUAAGACUAUUAUGUUUGUUAGACUGAUGAUCACAUCUCAUGGAUAUGGAUAAAGAGUUAUCAAGUCUUAAACAUAGGUAUGAAUAUUAGGAGUAAUAUUUUAUACCGGAUUGACCCGCUAUGAGAAUACUAUAUAGAAAGUUAUGCAAGUGUCAUAAGUUUAUUCUCAUGGUGAUAAUAGUGUAUACCACUCUUCGACCUGAAACCACUAUGGAUCCUAGAUGUAGAGUCGAGUGCUUUAUUGGCUGGAUCCAACGUUGUCCGUAACUGGAUAACCAUAAAGAUAGUUGAUGGGUACUCCACGAAGCAUGCUGAGGGACAUGAGUGUUCCUAGAUGGAAUUUGCCAAUCCUGCGUAACAGGAUAAAUGUCUAUGGGCCCAAUAUUGAAACUGGACAAGGGUGACACGGUCUAUACCUUAUGUCAAUAUAGACAUAAGGGGCAAAGGGGUAAUUAUACACAUAAUUAUUAUCACAAGAGGUUUUGUCCAGAUCACAUGACAAUUUGUGACUUGGGUAGCAGUGAUGUGUUGCUAGAUACCGCUCACUAUUUAUUAUGUUAAAUGCGUGAUUUAAUAUAAUUGCAAACGUCGCGAAAAACCUAUAGGUCACACACAAAGGACGGAUUGAUGAGAAAUUAGAAGUAACUAAUGAACCCGUAAGGUAUGGUGCACUUAAGUGGAAACGAAUAUGGUAAGGUACCGAAUACUUAAGUGAUUUUGACUAUUAUGAGAUAUGGGCAAAUAUACACUUAAGUGGGCUUUUUAGCUUGAAGCCCACACAAGUGGUUCUAUAAAUAGACCCUUGGGUAGAAAGCAUUGUCACUCCACUCAAGACUGAAAUUCCAAUGUAGAGACUUGGAAUUUUGUUUCCCUUCUUUCUCUCACUCAAAACACCUUCAUUCAUAACAGCUAAAGCACUGCGAUUGAGGAACCGUUCGUGUGGACUGAGUAGAGGACGUUGUCGUCGUUCAACGUUUCGUACGCCCCUGGAUCUGUAUCAAAGGUUUUUGAUCAUUAUCAGAGAUCUGCACCAAAAGGUUGAUCGCCACAAGAGGUAACGAUUCUAUCAGCUGAUCCUGCCCAUUCGUAAGGAUCACUUAAAUGGAGAAAUUUUAAAUUCCGCUGCGCUUGGAAUGGCAAUUCUCCUUCAGUGGUAUCAGAGCCACUUACGAAACCAUGAAUCUGAUAACUUUUUUGUUCUGUAAUAAUAUGAAUUAAAGACAGAACAUGAAUCAAGGUUAAAAAUUGAGAUCGAUCAAAGUUCCAUAUUGUGAUAUAUUGUAAAUCCCUGAUUGCAAAAUACAUUAUAUAUGAUAUAGUGUUCUCGUUUCCGUUCAUUCAAACACUCAAGUGAUUGUUUCCUUGAGCGAUCAAUGGUCAUUUGUCUUCUUGACACGACAUUAAGUAUGGUGAAGCCAUGACGUGUUGAUCAUCAUACUGAAUUAACAAUGCGAUAAUUGUUUCGACGGUCUGAAAUGGGUGCAUCAGGGUUAGUGACGGCACAAGGUGUGUGUUUCGUCAGAGAGUUAUGCGCGAUUGGGGUUGAACUGCACAAGAGUUGUGCGUCCCAAAACACUUUUCCCGAACAGUGUUAACCGGUUAACGCGUAUGGUUUACCGGUAACGCAAUGCGAAAUAAAAAUUUUGAGUUUUCAAAACGUGUUAACCGGUUAAACGCUUUUGGUUAACCGGUUAACGCAAGACGAAAUCAGUUUUUUCUGAGUUUGUUCAAACAGUGUUAACCGGUUAACACAUUUUGGUUAACCGGUUAACGCAAGGAGAAAAGAAUUUUCUAAGUUUUCAAACAGGUGUUAACCGUUAACGUAUAUGGUUAACCGGAUUAACACAAGGAAAAUUCACCCGUGUCGGCUAGAAAAAGUGCUUUGAAAGUACAAGUUGUUGGUAGGCGAAAAACGACGUCAAUUUUUAAAAUGAAUUUCAUAUAAAAUUUUCAGAGUUGACUCUGCGUGUGUGAUCGGGCGUCGAAAAUUUAAUUUGAUUUUAUUAAAUAAUAAUAAUGAUGUUUAUUAUGUCUUGUGGUGAUCGUUAUGGCCUUAGUUUUCCUUUCGUUUUAGUUUUGGUUUUUUUUAAAAUACGAACCUGCGUGGUCGUGCCCCUUCUUAAUCUCCCAAAAAAAUGUAAUCUUCUUUUUCUCAUCUCACUCCGUCAUAUGUAAAACGAGUUUCUUCUCAUGUAAUUUGAGAUAUGAAGAAAGCAAAGAAGGUUCCAGUGCCAAAGGAGGACCACUUGGAAGAUCAUUGCUUGGCAGCAGAUCUAAGGUUAACUUAGGUUCCUGCUCAUUGGCUGGGAGAACAAUUGCGCUAGGGGCCAUAACUUGUUUCAUUUUGUUUUUUGUAUGUUGAUGCAUGUGAAUGUAUGUUGAUGCAAUGUGAGAGACGGUUUCAUAUGAUAAACAGCCGUGAGAAUCAGAAAAAAUUGCAUAUCCCUCAAAUUAAAUAUUAACGUUUAUGUUUCCAAAUUUAACACUCCAUCAGACUAGUAAUGGAUAAUGUAGGUUUCGCCUACGCGAGGUGCAUGAUCCUAUAUAUUAGUAAGGUGCGAUGGAUAAAUUGUAAAUAUCCAACUGUUAAAACAAUGGGUCAAACUUACUAAACAAACUUAAAUAAGAUUAUAUAUGUUUAGAAAGCAAGAGUUGGGAAAUAAUCCAUAUGAUGGAUUGGAAUAAGGAAGUUUAUUUCACCCAAUUGAAAUUUCGAGAGUUGUAUGAGAUACAUUGGAAGGAGUUCCUCCGUAACUAACCUAGUUUUUGUGUAAUCCGCCUACGCGGAACUUAGAACUGAAGUGAAAAUCAUGGAUCUCGACCCACUAGAAAAAUCUUCCACACGGGAUUUCCGAAUCAAUAUGAAUGAGGGUCAUUUGUUUUGAGUAAAAAUAGUGGGAGCAUGUUUAUAUAAAGGCCUAAUAAAUAUGUCAAUGGAUACUUAUAUUUUCAUUAAUCCUUGUGUAGAUUACCAUGACAGACAAACACCUCUUAACAACAUCUUGCGAUCAAAUCCUUGAUAAGGAAAAAAUUGUCUGGGACAAAUUGUUGGAUUGGCACCGAAACCUGAGGAUUGUCGCUAAUAACAUGAAAAAAGGUUGUAUGUCUUGGAGACACCUGUUCCUGAAGAGGAAACCUCCUAGUUCUGCACUAAGGCAGAAAGAGAUGCUUUAUAAGAAGCCGUCGAUAUGCCAAUGAAACUGGCAUGUCUUCAUGCUGGCUACCAUGAACUCAGAAUUGCAAAAGCAAACAUGAGAAACAGUCAGCAUCAAGAUAUGAUCGAACACUGAAGUUGCUCUAUCAAGAGCAAGCAAGGCAUGAGAAGUUUGAAGUUUCAAAAGGCCCUUUCAAAUCAAGUUAGCGUGAGGGAGCCCCUGUAGGUUCGCCCAUGUACUCAAGAUGAUUGGGUAUGCUGGACAAACCUUGAGAGAUUGGGGGUUUUCUCCCUCGAAAAGGAACUUGCAACUGAUUUGAUCUUGCAAUCGUUGCCAGAUAAGAUUCAGUCAAUUUGUCACUAAAUUUCAAUAUGAUGAUAUGGAAAAUCUCUUCACGGAACUGCUCGCCAUGUUAAGAACUAGCCGAGCAGAAUCUGAGUCAAAAAGGGAAGUCCCAUUCUGAUGAAUACGGAAAUGAAAGAGACAGCAACAAAAAGCCGACUAAGUAGAGUGAUAGUGGGAAGGGCAAGGAAGUUGCAAUCCCAAGACCCACAUGCUGCUUGAAGCCUAGUGGAGGCAUAGGCAAAAGAAGGCACCUGCUUCAUUGGGUAGACUGGACCAUUCUGGAAGAGGANAAUGAAUGCUUUGACUUAGUUAGCUUCAUCUGCAAGUAACAUGGUUAGAUGACAAUAUUUUUGUACUUUUGGUUAGUAAACAUAUGAAAAGCAAUGAUAUACAAAUGCAAUACAUGCUUGGUGAUCAAGAACCACACUCACAAGGUAACCCAACCACUAGGAGGGAAGCAAAGGCAUGUACUGAUCCUUGAGGCUAUGAUAUGACAUGAUAUGAGCCAUGAGGGAUCUUAGGGCAAAAAUUGGGGUCUUACAGAUGCCCCUAUUUAAGGUCAUUCUAGCCGGAGAAGUGAAGUUUAGAAAUCUUCAUAUCGACGCGGUAGAAUGGGCUUAAAUAACAUUAAUGAGACAAAUUUUGGUCCCUAAGAGACCUCAUGAUGCAGAUAUAUGCAUGUAAAAGACACAAAUUCUAUGGGGAAUAUGAUUCACACAGAAGAAAAGACGAUCCAUCGGAGUAAUACACUCACCAGGAACAGAGACUCUAACAAGACUCUCAUGGGGAUUCUUAUUGGGGAUAAUAAAAGAAAAGGAAUGCGUGAGCAGGACACGACUUCGAGUUGGGGAAAACAAAACUGACACAACGUGUGCAAGACACGACUCUGAUUAUGGAAUAACGGAAAUCAGACUGGAGACCUCACUGGGGAAGUAAAGGACUCGAACCGGGGAAAGAAGCAAUUCCAAAGGAAAACAUUUCCAUUGGAAAGACUCAAGCUGACUCGCGAAAUGCAUGUACUGGGGAUAACACCAAUACAGCCACACCAAUAGCAACACAACUCCACCGGGGAAAUCUAGAAAAAAGACUUUCCAGGGGAAACCAAAGGAUGAGAUGUCGCCGGUAUACGGGCAACAAAUUCAGGAAGAAUGAAUAUCUAAGACCGGUAUAAGGGUGAGGGAUAUCAAUCAAUCCAAACGUCUGAGAAAGACCUGAAAAAGGUACAUAAACUCAGGAAAAUCUGACUCCACAGGGGACCAAGGUCAUAAUAGGGAGCAGAAGGGAAGGAACACCUGGGAUACCGAGGUAUAUAAUAGGUGACCGACCGAAACGUGAAUUGGUAUAUAUGCCAAGACACUCAUCAUCCUGAAGGAAGUUAGAAAAACAGACUUGUUUAUAGGAUGGACAUUCAAUUCCACAAGGAAUAUGAAUCUUACUCUGCGGAGAAAACAAUCAACAGAUUGACCCAAGAGUGUAUGAGACAUAUUAUUCAUUACCGCAGACCCUGAAUAAUAUAGCUCAAAAGGAAGAGACACCAGACGAUCCGGGAGUAUAAUAAUAGGUGACCUACCAAAGACGUGAAUUGGUAUAUAUGCCAAAACACUCAUCAUCCGAAAGGAGGGCUUGAAAAAGCAAAUCGACUUACAGGAUGAACAUUCGAAUCCAUAACAGGAAAACGACUCUUACUCAACUGGGGACACAAACCCAAAGAGCGCAUGAGAUAUAAUAUCCAUUACCGUCAGAACGUGGAUAGAAUACUCGCAUGAGAUAUAUUAUCUAUUACCGGCAGACCGUAGAUAAUACACUCGCAUGGUAAGAAACACCAAGGAUACCGGUUACUGGGUAUAUAAUAGGUGAUCUACCGAAAACGUGAAUUGGUAUAUAUGCCAAAGCACUCAUCAUCCAAAACACAAACUGGUUAAAGGAUGGAUAUUCGAUUCUACAAAGAAUACGAAUCUUACUCUACUGGGGAAGAUCAACAAAGGAUUCCGACCAAAGAGUGAAAGAGAUAUAUUAUUCAUUACCGGCAGACCGUGAAUAAUACACUCGAAAGGAAAAGACACCAGAGAUACCGAAGUAUAUAAUAGGUGACUAACCAAAGAAGAGAGACAAUCGAUACCAAGCAUCCGGGUAAACGAAAGCCAACUCAAAGGGAAUAAACUGCAAGCAUCCGACAAUUAUCCGAAACAACAAAUAUUCGACUCCGCAAAGGGAAUAACGAAUCUUACUCGACCAGAGGAACACACAAGGUUUCGACUAAAGAGCGCCUGAGAUAUAUUAUCCAUUACCGUCAGAACGUGGAUAACAUACUCGCAUGGAAGAUUAUCCAUAACCGGUAUAAGGGUUAACAAAGGAUAAAUCGACCGAAAAGAAAGGCAUCGGGAUACCAAAAUAGGUAUAUAAUGAUGACCAAUCAAAAGGAGCAACAAUCAUUACCAGGCAAACAGGUAAAUGAAAGGCGAUCCGCUGAGAAUGAAUUGCAAGCAUCCGGCAAUUAUCCACAGGGACUGGCUGGGGAUGUAUUGAUAAACAAUCAAUGAUCCGGGGAACAAAUCACUAGCAAACGGUGAAAAGACCCACUGGCAACUACAAAAGGGGAUAACAUUGCGAGCAUACGGCAAUGAUCCAGAAGACAACUUGCUGGGGAUAAAUUGCUAGCAUCCGGCAAUUAUCCAAAAGCAAAGAGGUAAUAUCAACAUCGAACAACGAAUGAAGAUAACCACAAAGAGUAACCAUCAUCGGUUAGGAUGAAUAACAAGGUUAACUCUGCAAAGGAGAAAUUAGGGUUUACAACUACCAAAUACGGGGUAGAAACCAAAAAUCUGGCUGAAGAAACAAGAGAUUAAUACUACCGACUACUGGGUAGAAACCAAAGACUCAGCUGGGAUAAAAAUUGCUAGCAACCGGCAAUUAUCCACUCGUACCAUAAGGCACAAACUCCAAUGGGGAGAACAAUCACAACAUGGGAUUUAUAACUACCGAAUACGGGGUAGAAGACCACAAACUCCACUGGGGAUAAAAAUCACCACAGGGAAACGCAAACUCUGUGUGGGGAUAACAAGCCACAACAACAGAAAAUCCACCAUCAACCAGAACGAACCACAAAGGUUACCUCUGCUAGGGGAAAGAGAUAGGACUUACAACUACCGAAUACGGGUAGUAGCCAUACUCUGGUGGGAAUAACCACAAAUUAGGGUUUACAUCUACCGAAUACUGGGUAGAAAACCAACAACUCCGCGUGGGGAUGGAACGAAUCACAAAUCCGCACAGGAAACAAAAAAGGGUUUAUAACAAACCACAAACUGCUGGAGAGCAGGCAAACAGGAUUUACGACUACCAACUACUGGGUAGAAGACCAACAACUCUUGCUUGAGGAGUAAAAGGUAUAUAACCACAAAUUCCGCCAAGAAGCAAGGAACAUAGGACUUACAACUACCGGUAUAAGGGUAGAGGCCCAAAAAACUCCGCUGGGGAUAAAUGAAUUGAUGCCGGUUACUGGGCAAACCCUUCAUUUCUUCCACAGGGAAGCACUAGAAACAGCUGACAAAACGCCGAUUCGGGAUUGAUCCGAAAAGACAGACUGAAUCAAAACACAUCCUAUGAGGAUAUAACUCAAUAGGAAAAUCCAUCCCAAUAUAUGUGUUGGGAGGAAACGGAAGAAACCGUCAUCCACUAGGAUAUAUCUCAGUGGGGAACUGCAGAAGAAAAGACAGACACUUUCUGCUUAUGGGCUGACUCUAUAUGGAGAGAUUUAAACCACCCAACAUCUGCUUGGGAAGAUCUAUAAAGAGAUCUAUAUCACCAAUAGCAGAAGAAUAACAAACAAAAGGAUAUAUGGCAAAAAUGUAAUAUGAAUAUCUGAAUGUUUUAUGAAUAUGCAUGAAUAUGCGUGAUUUAUGUUUGAUGAAUGCUGACAAAACAGACAUAUCUAACACAACCAGGUCCAGGAAUCAAACGCCUGGUACUAUACUUCCAGGGGAAAAACCAACUGGAAAGCCAAUCUGCUAGAGAUCCACAUGCUGUAAAGCAAAGAUCUGCGGAUACUGCAGGGGAAACAAAGAGAUCAGGAUACACUAAAUCUCUGAGCAAUGGAUCAGCAAAACAACCCAGACAGGGUACAGAAAGUCACAACGGGCAAAACUGCCACCAAGACCAAUCUGUAGGGGAUCAGGAAAAUCCUGAGGAUAUCUGCAGGGGAUCCCAGCAUCAACUGAGAAACAAGAAUUCAUGGCUCAACCAAGAACUACUGCAAAGGCAACUCCAAACAACUCUGGGGAACAACCCAUUGAAGGAGAAACAUCCAAGUAGAAUCUAACUGCACAAGCAACUCUACUGAGGAUCAAAAAUAAUCAGGAAAUCAAUCCAAUCUUGGCGAUGCUAGAGCCACCAACCGACCCUACUGGGGAUUUGAGAUAGCUUUCAACAGGCAGAAAUUACCACAACAACCAUUCUGCAGACUAAGCUAGGAAAAACGGAAAGCAACCAUGUUGAGGAGAGACACAACAACUCCGCUGGCAACUGCACUGGGGGAGAGAUUACUGCUGGCGAAGAACGCGAAGUCUUCAACAACAUCUCUGCUUGCGACUAUACUGGGGAACAACCCCACCAACAGCUCUGCUCGCGACAAUGCUGAGGAAAGCGGUAAAGUACCAGGAUAUCAAUCCACCAAUCACUGAAUCUACCACAAGGAGAACAAACCAUGCUGGGGGAUUACUGCUGGAGAAGAAACUGAGUCUUCAACCACCACCUCUGCUUGGGGAACAACCCCAACAACAAAGCGGGAGAAAGAGGAUACAAUCAAAUGCCAGGAAUAUGAACAAAUGUCUUACCUGUUGGGAAUCAUACCACCCUCGGGAGAGCACUGAGACAUCCCUGAGCAUCCUUUUGUCAUCGUGAAUAUUCACUUUGUUUAAAACAACAAUUUUGAAAAAUUUAUUUGUUUAAAACAAUGACAUUUUAUCAAUUAAAACAUGCAAAACAUUUGUUGAAUUGAAACAAAUAAGAAUGCAAAUAAUUGGAUAAGCUCAAAUUGAUUUGAUGGAAUGGUAGCCUGCAAAUGGCAAGACUCCAUAGAUCUGUACAAAUUUGAAAUCAGUGAUAUAUAUUGGAAGAGGGCUACAUUGAACAUAAUGAUCCUUUCUCUACCAAUUUGAAUCUCGAUGUAUCCGAAGCUUCAGUUGACGACGAAUCGAGAAUCUUCUGACGAAAUGACGACUGGUGAACAGAAAGUCUUGUCAGGAUGCAGUUACUUGCCAAAUCCCUAAUUUUUGCCUAGAUUGCCCCAGGGUGAGGUACUCAAUCUAGCGGGAUGCAAAUAUNNNNNNNNNNNNNNNNNNNNNNNNNNNNNNNNNNNNNNNNNNNNNNNNNNNNNNNNNNNNNNNNNNNNNNNNNNNNNNNNNNNNNNNNNNNNNNNNNNNNNNNNNNNNNNNNNNNNNNNNNNNNNNNNNNNNNNNNNNNNNNNNNNNNNNNNNNNNNNNNNNNNNNNNNNNNNNNNNNNNNNNNNNNNNNNNNNNNNNNNNNNNNNNNNNNNNNNNNNNNNNNNNNNNNNNNNNNNNNNNNNNNNNNNNNNNNNNNNNNNNNNNNNNNNNNNNNNNNNNNNNNNNNNNNNNNNNNNNNNNNNNNNNNNNNNNNNNNNNNNNNNNNNNNNNNNNNNNNNNNNNNNNNNNNNNNNNNNNNNNNCCGCCUGAAAAGGCUCUCUUAACAACAUAUGGACCCUCGUAGUUUGGAGUCCACUUGCCCCUGGAAUCGGGCGCGAAAGACAAGACUUUCUUGAGCACGAGGUCACCUUCUCGGAACACACGAGGCUUGACCUUCUUAUCGAAUGCUUUCUUCAUUCUCUGCUGAUAUAACUGACCAUGGCACAUGGCAGUUAAUCGCUUCUCUUCAAUCAAAUUCAACUGGUCAUAACGACUCUGAAUCCAUUCAGCAUCAGUCAACUAGGGACUUGAGGGUAUAAUUUUUCUUUUUUCUUUUAAAAAAAAUUUGAAAUUUUUUCCUGAUUUUUGAUUUUUUUCUUUUUUUUCACCCUCUCUUUUUUCUCUUUUUUUUUUUAUUACAUUUGCAAUGCCCCAGUUUGACUGUUUUGCUGAUUCUCAAGAUACAGCUGAAUGAGCUCCUUUGGUGCUCAAGAAGGCGGGUAAUCUCAUCAGGAACCCCCUUCAACAUCAUCUUCCUCUGCUUCGAAUACAAGGAAUUCAAGAUUGGGAGAUGGCGUUGGAUCAUUAUGUUCAAUGGGUUUAGAAAUCCCUGCAUAAUGAUUCUGGAUAAUGAAAAGCUUUUGAAUUUGAACAAGAAAAUCAUUUGUGCAGAUGAAAAAUGUUGUUUUCUUGUUUUUCAGGGUUUUUUGUGAUCACUGAUUUCAUGCAAAAGCAAAAAUUGAAAACAAAUGGAAAAACAAAUGUUUAACAAUGCAUUAAUUGAAUGAAAACAUCAUUGUAUUAAAUGCUGCCAACAAUGUCAUCACUUCUCCUUUUGGCAUGGGAGAAGGGUUUUGAACAAAGUUAACAAUUACUCUGAUCUAUGGAUGACUGUAGGAACAUCUACAGCGACCCAAUUGUGGCAGACACCACCAGGUAUGACGAAAUUGUUCGAGUCUUCUGCAUCCUCUUCCAAGAUAGCAGCAGCUUCCUCAGGUUGAUCAGCAUGGAUGAAACCUCCACUCGUGAACAAACCUUGCUCAUUAAACGCCCCAGAACAGUAGCCAAUGCCAGCCCGGGAUCUAUUGUCUUCAAGCUCGAUCACCUUCCCUAAACCAGCAACAGGAAUAAAUCCAUCAAAAGCACUUAGUAUGGCAAAUUCCCCCUUGAGUUCACAACUCUCUUGCUCAAAAUGGUCCAUCACUCUGGCAGAGAUAACCCAAUGUAGUACCGGCGAAGUGCGUCUCAAAAUAAAUGAAGAUCGCAGGGUCAGACCAUAGGACGGGAGACCGGAAUAAAACACUCGCCUAUGCAAAUGAUGCAUGAAGUGUUUGUGCAUAUGUUUGUUUUUUUAUUUCAAAGGAACUCGAGGGUUUUAUUUGCAAACUUUGAAAUAUUUAAGCAUUUUGAUCGUAUAUGAGAAUAUCUCAUCAGAUACAUCAGGUGAAAAAAAUUUCCUGUUUUUUCCAUGUUUGAAAAUUUUUGCAAAUAAACUCCUUUGAGUUCCUUGAAAAUUUUCUUUUUAUCUGAUGAUAUGGAUGUAGAUGAGUGCAUGAAUGCAUGAAUGCAACAAUCACACUCAAGGAUCAAGCAAGUCACACCAAACAAAGGUCAUGGGAAAGCUCAUUGUAUCCCUAAUAUCAAUCAUCCAUUUUGGUGGAUUUAGGUUUUCACCUNACCAUGUGAGAAAAGCUUCCACUCGCUAGUGAGGGGUUAACCCUAUAAUAAGCGAGGAAGACUUACAAUUCAAUCAACUAAGGACAAAUAGGUGAGGUUAACAUCAACCAACUAGGAUAAAUCAAACCUAUGACUAAUGUAUGAAAACUUAAUAAGCAUGGACAAAGCCACAAAACAAUUGAGUGAGUUGGAUUAAUGGAUUAUGAUUAUUCACAAAAGGAUGGUCAAGGUAUGAUUAAGAUUGAUUCAAAGAAGUGUUAUGAAAUGGAGUUUGAAAAGUCAAGGACUUAUGGUCCAGGUUUCUAAUUUUAAAAGAGGUGAGAUGUUUGCACAACAUGCAUUUACAAGUUUUUAAAAGUCAACAAGUGAAAAGGGUUUUGAAACAAAAAGGGUGAGGAUGAAGAAGUGUAAAACCUCUUAGAAGUUCACCUCUUGAAAUCAUAUAGAAGAUGAUUCAAGUGUGUCCUUAGGAAUAAGCAAUGGACAAUGGCAAAUAAUCAAAUAAGGUGAUACCGGAUGCCACUCAAUGGUCUUAUACCAAUCUCACAAACAAAAGCGGAUAUCGGAUACCAAUAACUGGGUUUACACCAACCUCCUAAAGUAAAACAAUGAUACCGGAUGCCAUCAAUGGUCUUAUACCAAUCUCACAAAAGCAAAAAGCGGAUGUCGGAUACCAAUAAAUGGAUUUAUACCAACCUCCUAAAGUAAAACAAAACUUGGAUGUCAGAUGCCAAUCUAUUUGGACUUAUACCAACCUCAAAAGUAUGGUCAUAGGAAUACAAAUGCCACAUCACAGGGACUUACAAUUGCAUCCUCUCAUACAACAAACAAGAGCAAAGAAGAUAUGAGUGACCAAUGAGGUCUUACACUCUAUCCUUCCAUAUCAUGGGAACAAAAGCCAAUCAACAUGGUCUUACAAUUGUCCUCAAUGGGCAAACAAACAUAGAUCACAAGGAUAUGCAAUAAUGAUCAUAUAAGAAUUAACAAUCAAUAAUGAUGAAUGCACAAUGGCAAGUAAGCAAUCAUGUUCAGAUGAAUCAAAUAAUCAAUCAAACAAGUUCAAGUAGCACCCACUAUAACCAAUCAAUUUAGGCUCAAUCAAAGGGUUUGACUUAAAAAGUCCACUGGAAUAGGGUAAAUGGCACUCUUAACCUUGACAUUGAGAGCCAAGGUGAAGCAGAUGAAAGGAUAUGAGGGGUGUGCCUUAUCACUCUUAUCCCUGGUCAGGGAGAGCAUUGAAUAUCAGAAGGUGUGGGAGUUCAGAAAGAUGGAACUCUCUCCACAUUUUAUUGACUCUAUAGAUCUUGGGUUUGGAUCUCAAUGCUACAACCAUGUAAUGGGAGCAAGGAGAAGACUCACAGAAUAGUAGGAGAUAGGCUAUAUAUCUCUUUGAUCUACCAAUUGCCUUAUUUAAAGGACUUUUCCUGCUUGGGACAAACAUAAACAAUCACAAACAUCGCCUCUUAAGGAGGACUUCAGACAGUUGCCUGGCUAAAUAACAAGCCAGGUCUUCCAGACUACAUUGUGCCUCAUCACUCUUAUCUCUGGUCAGAGAGGGUAUUGAAUAUCAGAAGGUGUGGGAGUUCAGAAAGUUGGAACUCUCUCCACAUUUUAUUGACUCUAUAGAUCUUGGGUUUGGAUCUCAAUGCUAUAACCAUGUAAUGGGAGCAAAGAGAAGACUCACAGAAUAGUAGGAGAUAGGCUACAUAUCUCUUUGAUCUACCAAUUGCCUUAUUUAAAGGACUUUUCCUGCUUGGGACAAACAUAAACAAUCACAAACAUUGCCUCUUAAGGAGGACUUCAGACAGGUGCCUGGCUAAGUAACAAGCCAGGUCUUCCAGACUACAUGGAGACAAGAGAGUCUACCUCAAUGCAAAUGCUAUCAAAGCAAAGCAAUGCAAGUUCUUAAGAGAACUGAGCAACUAAGGGUACCUGAAAUCAAUCAAAUAUAAUCAGCAUCCCAAUCAUUAAAACAGAACAGACAAGGUAAUAAACCAAUAGUCAAUCACAAUCAAACAUGUGCAAAAGCACAAGGCUCAGAGCUCAAAUGAGAUAAGCAUCCUACAAAACAAACAAUUAGUCAAAUGAAUUCAGCUCAGAUAUGCAUCAACCUUCUUAAGGCAUUAGCUUUUUAAGCACUUUGCUUCUUAACCUGAAAAGUCAAAGUCAAACUCAAACAUGAGUAACAAGACCACUAGGACAAGCCUAGGGUCCAAAGGAUGGAAAAAAUGUAAAACAGCAAGUGAAACAUGAUCAAAAUCAAGGUUUAUCAAUUAAAAAGAGAACCUAAUUGGUCUCACAUCCAAACUAUGCACUAAUAUUAUUUUAUGCACCAUUUAACUCAAAGUAAGCAAGUAUGAAUCACAAAUGAGUAAACAGCAAGAUUUCAGUCAAACAAAUAUCAAAACAGCUCAAUAAAUUCUACAAAAAUUCUAUACUAAACAGGACACACUCAAUGAGCUACAUGUCAAUUUUCAUGCAAUUUGGACUAGUGGAAGUAGGGAAAUUAAAUUCAACAUGUCAUGGCAUGCAAAAACCAACCUAAACUAGGUCACAAAACAAGAGUCUACUUCAAUCAAUUGCAAAACAGUGAGAUCAAAUGGGAAAUGAGUGGGACCAAAGCCAAAUUAAAGCUAAACAUGUUAGGAAACACUCCACCAAUUUUCACAUUCAUAGGAUAAGGGAUGAGAAUUCUACAAGACAUGUAAGUUUGUUACUCCAGAAACUAUCCAAAAAUGCUAAACAGCAAUCAAAAAUCCAAAUCAAAUAGAAAAUGGAUCAAUUAAAUCCACAAAAAAUCAGUGUGAAACCUAGCAUAUAAAAGUCAUCUCAUGCAAAAAAUCAGAGCCAUAGGCCUAGCAUAAGCAUGGAAAAAUAAAUCAUGAACACAGCAUAGCAUAGUGUGACACAUAUUGUCACACUCAAAAAGAAUUAAUCAUAUCUAUCAAACCAGAGAUCCAAAAAUCACAAAUUAUACAUCAAAAUCUCCAGGAAUGUGUCAAGAAUCAUCAUAUGAAAUUUCAUUAAAUUUGGCUAAGGCAUGAUUAUUUGGUGAUUAAAAUGGUAAAACAUAUGAAUAUUGCACACAUGUCAAAAAUCAAUAAGCCAUUCUAAAAUUAUACCAGGCACAACUUGCACUACUAUGCCUAAAAAAAACUAGGGGAAAUUUGGGAUCUAACGAAAAAAGUCCCAAUUAAUUUGGACUAAAAUUGAAUUUAAUAUGAUUUUUGUAAGUUUUGUUAAUUUAUUGAAAUAUUUAUUUAAUUGCAUUAAGUGACUUAAUUAGGCGCAGUGGCAGAACCGUAAUAACCCAAUGCCAAGUCCAAAACGCGCAGCAUCAUUUAAUUCGGUGGCUGCAUCUGAUUGGGCGAAACCGGCGCCAAACACGUUUUGAAAUUUGCCAGGCAACGAAACGGAUUGAAACGCGAAAUAUUUCCAGAAUUUGAAGUUCAUCUGCGUGUUCUUCGAGUUCAUCACUUGCAGAUUCGGUUAGGACCAUUUCUUCACCAAAUCGCACGAGCCUUAUACCGUUCUCUCCGUCUCUCAGCGUAGGUCACGAUUAUGGCCAUGAAAAUGUCUAAAGAUUAACAUACGUAAAGAUCCGAUCGAAAGAAGUUUUGGUACACAAACUUAAAUCUACAAUAUCUUGAUGAUUAGUGGAUGAAAUCGCAUGGUUCAAGCAUCAAAAUGAUCUACGUUCUACGCACUACAUAAGCCAUACAUUGAUUUCAAGAAUUAAAGAAAUUGAAAACUCACCUCUUGAUGAUGCAGCUCGCGGUUCAGCGUGUUUUUGGCCUUGAUUGAUGCAAACAGAUCGCGAUUGAUGAUGUAGGAGGUGAAUAGUGAAGAAAUCUUAGCUCACAGGUGCUUGAAUCCGCGGAAAAUUGCAGCUGCCAUUGAUGAAUGAUACUUUGCACAGUGAGAAUUUGGCCACGAUUUUGCUUCAAUGCUUGAAACAGUCCUUUAGAUUCACCUGCACACCAAGAAUCCACAAAGAAAUCGCAACAAUAUUGAUGACUUAUUGAUGAAAUGAUGAAGAAAGUGAAUAUAAAAAAAAUGUGAAAAUUGAGAGAAUUUGGUGGCGUUUUGGAUUGGAUCUGAAAAUGUGAUUAUCCCCCCUUCAAUUCUGUUAGAAUUAGGCUUUUAUACUCUCUACUAAUCACCCUCUAAACAUGAUUAACCAAUUGGUAAAUGGAAAUGAUUAAAAAUGGAGGUGUUUUUUGACAAAAUGGGAUUUUCACCCUUGUGUAUGAAAAUGGUGCAUGAAGUAAUAUGGACGUGAACAGUGCUGUAUGAGAGCUCAAAAUAGAGUUAUGUAUUGAUACAAAAGCUCCUGCAUCGAUGCGUAGCACAUUUUUAACAGUAACGGAUCGACUACACAACUCGUAAGUAUCAAUACAUUUAGCACUUUUUAAAAGUAUGCACGACACAUAAACUUGUUUGUAGACAAUACAUAGCUUUUUUGCCCUUGCAUGCAUCGAUGCGAAAUUCGUAUGUAUCGAUACAUGGGAAAUUUUGCCAUGCACGUCGGUGGUAAUUUGAUCUUAUCUCCUCAACCGUUCAUCCCGAUUCUCACGAUCUUGGACUUUUUGGAAAUGGGAGAGAAAGAUCUACAACUUUCAUGUUCAACAAAGUUCCAUUUGAAGAUUUUUUGAUGAUGGAAAGUUGAGUUGAAGUCGUUCCAAAAACUUGCCAUUUUUUGGAAACUUGAAACCAUAGGUUUUUUCCUUUUGGAAACUUUUGGUUAUGACCCUCAAUCCUUCAAUGUGAGUAUUUGAAAUUUCAAAGGAGACUUGUUUGACAUGAAUGGCAGUAUUUCUAAUCACUUCCCACCUCAAAUCCAUAAUUUACUUUGUGCAGUUGACUGCUAGGGCUUCAGUUGACUGAUGAAUGCCUUGAUGAGAUCAAGCCUUACCACUUGAGAUUUUGAUACCAAAUGAUAUCACAAGUUAUAGUGACUCCAAAUGAAUGAUCAUGGUGCCCAAAUCUUCAAGAAUGGCCACUCAUCCACUGCUCAAUGAAUGCUUGUGACUUAGUUAGCUUCAUCUGCAAGUAACAUGGUUAGAUGACAAUAUUUUUGUACUUUGUUAGUAAAACAUAUGAAAAGCAAUGAUAUACAAAUGCAAUACAUGCUUGUGAUCAAGACCACACUCACAAGGUAACGCCACCACUAGGAGGGAAGCAAAGCAUGCCACUGAUCCUUGAGGCUGAUGAUAUGACAUGAUAUAAGCCAUGAGGGAUCUUGAGGCAAAAAUUGGGGUUUACAGCCUAAAACUAGGGUUUGGUAUAAAAUCUGCUUUUAUUUCUAUUCUUGCUCAGUUGGGGGAAACCUCUUUUUCUGGCCCUCCAUAAUGUCCACAAGGUCUCUCAAAAAAUCAGCUCUUUAUUUGAGUAGAAGUGCUUCAAUUGAUCAAAUGGAAUCGGGGAAUCUGACAGUUUCGCGGAAAAGUCAACACUGUGGGGCAGAAAAGUCAACUCCUGAAUUUGAGAGUGGAAUCUCAAAAUCCAUGCCCUAGGGGAUCCUACAUGUGGAAAUUUGAUCAGGUCGGAUCAUGGAUUCAUCAUUUAAUCAGGAAUUGGAAAAAGUUACUUAAUUGAAAUGGUUGACUUUCCAUUUAGGGCAGUUUUCGAUGAUCGUUGCACUUCACUUUAAGCCCAUUUGCUCAGAUAAAAGCUCCCUUUGGACAAAUUUCUCCGCAACAUGAAAGUUGUUUUCCUUUGUUCCAAGAUUUCUUAGAUAUAAAGUUUAGCUCGCAUUAUUGGAUUAGAAAUUGGAAAGUUAUGCUUAGAAGUGAGAAUUUUUUCAAGGCACUUCGAAAAUUUCUAAGUCGAAAAUCUUCGAAAUUUGUCAAGACUUCUUGGCCAGUUUUCAUUGCAUUCAAGGCAUUAUUCUUGAAAUACUUUCUUUCACACAUUGCUUACUUGCCAUGUCCAUCUUUCACAUCCUUUUGGAAUCAUUCAUUUGGAUCCAUGGUUUGAGAGCACUACAUUCAAUUAACAUGGGCACCAUGACUUAAUUUUCUCCCAGGAGAUUUUGGUCUGGCUGGCCAAUCAGAUUUCCUAAGCAUGGUGCACAAACCAGUCACGUUGUUUUUUACCUCUUUUAGCCAUGCAUUGGACAUCCAUUCACUUAAGUUUGGCCCAAAAUAAGCAAACAUUUUACACCGUACUCACUUUCACACUUUUAAUUCUCUUAAUGGAUAAAUCAACUUAUUAAAAAAAGCCGCAUGAGAACACCUAAUCCACCCCUAUUUAAGAAGCUGAAAACCCUAACCCUGAGGAGCAUUGGAAUUUCGUGGCAAGGAGGCAAAAGCUUCAUCACAUAUCAGAUUCCAUUCCAUUUCUAUUGUUCAUGGUAGGUAAUCAUCUCUUCCAUGGCCAUGUUUUCAAUAUAUUCUAUGCUUGCUUACCAUGUUCAUCACCAAUUAAUUCGCUUCCGUUUUCCAUAUUUCUUUUUCUUAUUUAAAAUAUGUUUCUUUCCCGUCCAUAAAAUUACCAAAAAUAUUUUUUCACUUUUCUUAACAUAUUUAAUUUUAAUUUUAUAUAUUUUUAUUUUCCGUAUUUUUUUUAAUACUAAAUAUUUUAUUUUAAAUAUAUUUAUUCUAAAUGGUCCAUUUUAACACACUUUUUUUUAUUGUAUUUUAUUUUAUGACUUAAAAGUUAUUGUUAGCCCUUUGAUUUUGGGAUUGAAAGGUUGACCGCAACUGUCUCAUGGUCCAUAAAAUUUAGAAGAGAAAUGAUUUUUGUUUUAAUUAAAAUAAUUUUUUUUUUUAAGAUUCUCAGCAGCAUGUCAAGGUGUAAAUACGGGACUUUUUUUAAAUUUUUUGAAGAAAUAAUGUUCUCUUUUUCUCCAGACGUUACUUGUCAUUGUUUUUGUUUAAGUAGUUUUUUUCUUCUUUUUUAUUACUUAUUUAUAUUAUUGUUCAUUAUAUUAUUAUUAUUAAUUAUUAUUAUAUUAUAAUUAAUUAUUAUUAUUAUUAUUAGAUUAGGAUUUAAUUUUUUUUUUUUAGAUCUCUUGGACCCAAAUUAAAUAUAGAUGUUUGCAUUUUCUUACCAUGCAUGCAUCCUUUGGUUAUCUCUUUUAUUAUUUUUAUUAUAAUUAAAAUAUUUAAAUUACCUAGUUAAUAAAUAAUAGAUUUUUAAUUUAUUUACUUGAUCAUAGUUUUAUUUAAUUAAUUAUUAAAUGUAUUGUUUGAUAACUAAUUAAAUAAUCGAUCAAAAUAAAAUCAAUAUAUUCAAAACAAUAAAAAUACUUGGUCAGCACAAACUUAAUUUUAAAACCAAUUUGGCCAACACCCAGUUUCCCACUAAUCAUCUUCAUUAAACUUUCCACAAAUUCAAAUCCAUUUCAAAAAUAGAAUACAAUUCAUUUUUCAACCAUUUUUCACAAAAUCAAACAAUAAUAUUAACUCUUUUCCAAUAAACUACGAAAGAAGAGACCGUUGAAAAUCAGUAUUUCGGUGAAGAAUCCUCAAAUGAUCAAGCCUGAGCCACGCGUUUUGGGUUAACAGUUCAUUCUUUCUUUCAUUUCUUAAACCACUUUAAUUAAUUUGAAAAAUAAAGAAGGCCCGUUUGGGAUCAAGCAUUCCUGGCUGAACUCUUUAAGACAAUUGAUUUAUUCAAGUGUUCGAUUUGUCCAUCAAACAAUUUUUUCUUUAAAUACAUUCGAAUGAAAUAAAAGGACCGUUGGAAUCCAGCAUUCCGGUGGACCCUGAUAUGAUUGAUCCGAGACUUGCGUCUCGUUCUCAAUCCGAGCAUUCAUGCAUCAUUUAAAAUACAUUCAACCAAUCAAACUAUUUUCUUGGCUCCGUCAUGGCGGUUAAUCUUCAAAAACCUUUUCAUAAUGAAAGACAUCUUGUCUUAAGAUGAUGCAAAGUCAAUGUUUCAUCCCAUAAUUGAGGAGAUAAUGUGUGUUUUCUGAAUGGUUGAUUUGUAAAUCCAUUCGAUGUGAUGUAUACGUACUCCUCCUCAUCUGUUUUUUAGGGAAAACAAUGUUUUUCGUCGAUUAAUACAAGAUAGCUUUCGUAAAAUCAGACCAACAAACAAACAUUUUCUAUGCCGGAACUACCGUAAGCCUUGAAUUCUCUUAGGUGCACCCGGAGAUACGUAGGUGCAGGAUUACGAAACUGGCUCGUGUCCAGAGCCCAUUAUUAAAAAUUUAGGUUUAGUUCCUUAUUCUGCCCCCUAAUAAUAAAAAAAAUUAGGUCCUCUAUCAUAAAAUUCAAAAACAUUUCUCUUCUCCGCUCCUUUCCCUAUCCCAAAUAAGUAGAAAUGAGUUAGAAACUAAACAACACGCUAACAUUGCGAUAGAAACUAACUAAAUGGUUCCGGUUGAGUAUACGGACGUGAAAAGAGGUGCUAAUUACCUUCCCCUUGAAGUAACCGACUGCAAAACCGCAGAUAUUUGGUUUGCGAUGACCAUAUCUUAUCCUUUCUUUUAGGGGUUUUAUCAAUAUUUUCCCGUUUCUCUAAUUUGGAAAUAAGCAUACGCUGUCGGGCGUGACGGAGACGCGACUCUAUUGAGGUCCCACUAGAUCCCGCGAGCGUGGGGUGCAAUUGUGCAUCGCGAGCAUCCAUUUUUCUCAUUUUUUUUUUUUUUUUUUUUUUUUUGUUUUUGAGGUGCGACAGGAGACGGAAUCUCUUUCUGCCACGAAGUAAAUAUUAUCCAUAAAAGGUUUUAGAUGGAAAAUAAAGAAACAGCAGGAAAAAAUAAGCAGUUGUAGCCGCGGGAGAUUAAUUCGUUACCUUUAGAUUUAUUGACUAUAAUCAAAAGUCGGAGUCAUAACUACAUUCGAGUCGCCAGCCCUUGACACCGGCCGAGUGUGUCUGACUGUGGCACUUCUAUUUUUAUCAAUAAUGAGGAUUAGAAAGAAGUUAGAAAAGCGAACAAAAACCGAGGAAGCUGUUUUAAUAAAUCAAAUAUCAAAAAACUAAUAAUCAAAGUGUCAAGAGGAUCUGGGUUAAGGGGGUUGGUUAUGCACAUGGGAAGGUUUUAAGCACCAAAAACAUCCUUAGUACUCCAAGGGAGCCCUUUUUGCCAAAUGUUGUAUGGUAGGUUGAUAUUUGUGGAAAAAAUAUUUGUUUCCAACAUGAUUGGGGAGAAUGAAAAAAGAUUACAAGUUAUUACAAUUUUGUUGUUUGAAUGGAUAAACGCUAUUGCCUACAGUACCAUGCACAAAGGUAGGAUCAAAACCUCGUAGUUCGGGGUAAAAUCUUCAAAAGUGAAAUAGGUGAAUUGUUGGUCAAGAAGCCUUAAGGUCUUUUGUUUAUCAAAGGGAGAAACUCAACUUAAACACAAUCCACCAUGUGAGGAGAUCUUCAACAUACUAGUGAGGGAUUCCACCCUAUAAUAAAGUUAUGCGAAAGACUUAUACGGUCCAGUCACUAAGGAUAAAGGUGAGGUUUAACAUCAACCACUAAUGAUAACUCAAACCUAAUAGCUAAUGUUUAUUGAAAAGCUGGCAAAGGGUGGGCCAUUGGAACCACAAAAAGAAUUUGAGGUGAGUUUGGAUUUACCAAUUAGAAGGUAUUUACAAAAGGAAAGUAAAGUUGACUUAAGGUUUCAUUCAAAAAUAAGUAUUAUGAAAAGAGUUUGACAAAUCAAAGGUAUAAAUGCGCUAGGUUUCUAAAUUUGAAAACAUGUCAAUGUUUUGCAGCAAAAUAAGUUUGCUUGGGUUAGAGUGGAGAGAAGAAGAAAGAAGCGGGCUAGGUCCCCAAACAUGCAAAGAUGAGGAAGAGAAAUAAAACCCUUGGAAGUUCCCUUUUUGAGAUCUAAAGAUGAUCCAAGUUGCUCCUUUUCCUUUGGAACUUAGCAAUAAUAAGCCAAUUAAACUCAAGCAAUCCGCAAAAAUAUUCAAUCAAAGCUCCUAGGAUCCUUCAUUUGGAUUUGUCUCUCUUAUCUUGGAUGCUCAUGACAAUGGUACCCUCUAAUUCGCUCAAGUUUAGGAUCCCUCAUCACACAAGAACAAACAAAUCAAAAAGUUCCACAAAUGCAAUAGAAAGAAUGGGACAAGAGUGAGUUUAGACAUAGGGGUCCUUUCAAAAUUCAAACUUUCAGGUUAAGCAUUCUAAGGCAUGAGGGCCCUAGUUGCUCUAUCAAACAUAAUUUGCAUUUGCUAAAGGGCGUGAGGCCUAGUUUGCUCUUGAACUCCCUUAGCAUAGGUAAGGUCCUAAUUCUAAGUCCUUUCCUCCUUUUUGCAUUGGUUCACACAAAAUCAAAACAAAACACUAAAGGCAUAGUAUAUACAUAUAAUGUGCUCAAGUGAGCAAAAGGCGAAAUGGCAUAAAGGAUAAACAUGAGCUCAAUGAGCAAAAGGGAAAAAGACAAAAUAUGAAUAAUGAGAAAAAAAAUUAAAUUGCCAUUAAAAGUAAAUUGCAAGUAUUAAAUGCUUGAUUAAAAGUUAGUAAUUAAAUAGUUAGUGUUAGUGUGCCAAUAAGGCAUUUAGCGCUAUGUUAAGCAAUGCGUAAGUAUGGACUAAUGUAGUAGUCACACGCUAUCUGAGGCCGGUCAAUAAAACUAUAGGCAAUAAACACCAAGUUAGAGACCAAUGACUAGUAAGCCAAGCUCCUAACAACUUGCCAUGACAAAAAGAAAAGAAGAAAUGACCUUGUAUGGAUUUCAGGUUCUUUGCUUGACGCAGAAGCACCUAUCUUUGGACAGCAAAAGCAAAAUUAACUUGAUCUUUGAUCAAGAUGAAUUUGAAUUUGAGAUCAAAAGAAGGUUAUAGCCUCUCAUUAUGGUCCAAGGGCUUAACCACAAAUCAUUAACUCAUUGGUCAAUAAGAAAAGAAAAAAAAAAAAGAAAAGAUGAAGAAUGGAAAUGGAAUGUGCAAAAAUUGAAAUUCAAAUGAAACAUAACCAAAAACGCAUUGAUCAAAAAACAUGAAUGGAAUCACAUCAAUCAAAUGGUAAAACAGAAGUGGAAUGAAGUUGGAAGUCAAGAAAAAGUCAAACAUAUUUUUGGUAUUUUUUGGAAUUAAAAUAAUACAUGAAAUCAAAAUGAACCAAUAAAGGUCAAACUUCAAAUACAAUUUCAAAUCAACUUGGAUAAGUCCAUUGGAUCAUUCAUGAGUCUAACAUGGUCAAACAAGGUUUGACAAAUUUUCUCAAUAAUUUUUUUGGAAACAGAAACUAAUUUUAAACAAUUAAAUGAAGAAAAUAACAUAAGUGGACUAAAAAUCUCAAAUAAAUCUCAAAAUCAACUAAGAAAUUGAUGAGCAACAUUUUUCAUAAGAUCAUCAAUCAUCCAAAAUAAUGGUUAAGAAAAUAUUUUGGGCAUUUUUUGAAUAUAAAAAGCAUUUUAAAUGAAUUAUGAAAAUCAGAAAUGAAAUAAUUCACAGUAAAAUAAUUAAAUGGAAAUCACAAAAUAAUUUAAAAUCAUUUUAAUGAAACUAGAAUUUUAAGAGAAAUUUUUUGCAAUUGGUCCAUAUUUUUUGUGAUUCCAAAUAAAGAAAGUUAUGAAAAUUUUUAAAAUAAAAUGGAAUAAAAGAAAUUAAAACAGAAAAAUUAAAUAAAUUAUUCAAUUUUAUGUAAGUGUAAAAGUAAUUAUAAAUCAUUAAACUUUUUAAAAAUAAAUGGAAUGUUGAUGAAAUAAACAACUAUUUAAUCAUAUAAAAUGUUUUAUAACUCAUAUGGUCAUCCGAUCCGAUUCAAUUAAUUAGGUCAUUGGGUUACUAAUUAAAUUCACUAAAUCCAUUUGGUCGGAACAACAUAACUAUAAUAAUCCCGAGUUUUUAACUAAUUAAAUCACUCAUAUCAGGCUGAUUUCAAAACCUGAAUGGUUUAAAUGUUUGAACUAGUGACCGGUCGGCGUCACAUGCCAAUUUUCACGCAGGUCAAUUGCAACUAGGGUCCUUAUGACUUUACUGGAACCUGCUUUAACACUUUUGGUUCUUCGAUCUACCUGCUGUUACAUUUUGAGCUUGAGUCAAUUUAAUAGGCCACAUUUAAAGCAAGAAUGUUAUGAUAUUGUGUGAUACAAUUUUGUCUCUCUGAGAUCAAAAUCAGGAGGCAUUCGUGGAGCAAGAUGUUCCACAGAUUUUGAAAGAAUUUUCAAGAGAUCAAAUUUCAAGGAAUUAAAAGAACAAAAUUUUAUUUUUGAAGAUUUAUCAAAUCAAAGAUCGUAAAUUAACUCAGCUUAAUAAUAGAUUCUUGCGGUUCAUGGAUUUGCUUUAAGCCACAUCCGAAUGAUACUGUCGCAUCUGCCAAAAAAAAUAUCACAUCCCUCACGUUCGUUGUACUCAACGGGAACAGCUUUUAGUUAAACUUUGUGAUUGAAUGUUAGCUAAUGUAAAUUGUAUUCUUCGAGUGGUAAAUAAGUUUAAAAAGAAGAAAGGAACCACAAAUUUUUUUUUUUUAUAAGGACCUGACAGAUUACGGGGUCUUUACUCCUACUGUAUCUCCAGAUGCGAUGGAAAAUUCCGAGGUUACAUAGUUCUAUGCAAGACAAAACAUAUUUUUGGUGUUUUUUAGUUAUAGUUCUUAACGAAACGAAUUAAUCUCGCUCAUACGUAUCUCUAAAGGUGCGAUGGAGAAACUCAAAGUUACGUAGUUGUUUUGGUAAGAAAAUGAGUUUUGUCUAAUUUGAUUUAAACAUUGGCUUGUUUGCUCGUCGGGAGACUUUAAGCGCGUCUAGUUUAUAUUCCCGCAUAAGAAAAAGGGGGGGGUUUUUAAACUAAAACAAGGUCCUUUCUGAAAAAGGAUUUUUCGAUCGCACAGAGGGAGAAAAAAGAAUAGGUGUUGGAGUUGGUUUUCGUUGUAUUCGUCUGGUAUAGGAGGUGAGAAAAUGAUAGGUUUGUUGUUGUUUUUAUGUUAUUUUGUUGAGAAUUGUUCGAUGAUGAGAUUAUUGUGUUCGUGAGCUAUUUUUGUUGUCUGCUGUUGUUUUGCGCGCUAUCGGUCAUUGUUGUAGUUGAUUUUUGGUUUAUUGAGGGUAUAUGUUAGUGUUUGAUAUGUGUAAUUGGUUGCUCCUCUUCCAUUUUUUUCUCCUUUUCUUCCAAUUGAUAUUUUAAUUUUUUAUGGAAGUCGAAUAUUCACAGUAGUGAGACGAGCGGCGCUCCCAACUUGAUUAUUCGAAGAAUAAUGAGAGCAUGUGUCACCUAUUGCCUUUAUUGCAAGUUUAUUAGAGUGUUUUGAAUCGGAAGAACGAAAAUUCGAGCCAAUAUGGAGAACACCUCCCAUUCUCUUUUUCAUCUAAAGUUUAAUUAAGAAAGAUUUAAUCGGGCUUCUUAGUAAGCGAAAAAGAAAACUUGAUGUUGAACGAUGUUUUGUCCGCGUUAGUGGAAACUGAUUGUGAGAGAUCGGUUUUGAGGAAUUGGUUUUUAAAAAAAAGUUUGAAAAACAUCAUUUCUUCCAUAAACAAAAAUCGAGAACAUUGCUUUUUUUCAUUAACAAAUAUCAUAACUCCAUCAACAUAUUCUCCAACUUGGAAUGAGACAAGGAAAAACAUGGACUCAAACUUAAAAAUGUUAGUUAUUGUUGUUGUUCUUGUUUUUAUUCUUGUUGUUAUUCUUGUUGUUGUUGUUGUUCUUUGGUUGUUGUUGUUUGUUCUUCUUCUUCUUCUUCUUCUUCUUCUUGACGUUAUUGUAAUUUUUGUUGUUGGUUUGUUGCUGCUUCUUCUUCUUAUUUUUCUUCUUGUUAUUGUUGUUGUUUUUUUUGUUUUGGGUUUGUUAUUAUUGUUGUUGUUAUUAUUGUUGUUGUUGUCCGUUCUUGUUUCUUGUUCAUUGUUCUUGUUGUGCUUCUUCUUGGUUGUUAUUGUUGUUGUUCUUGUUCCUUAAUAAUCUUGUUGUAGUUAUUGUUAUUCUUGUUUUUUCUCUUGUUGUUCUUGUCAUUGUUGUUAUUGUUGUUGUUGUUGUUAUUGUUUGUUUGUUCUAACUACUGUAAUUUUAUUUUAUUUUAUUAAAAACCAUACAACAAUAGUUGUUUAAAGUAACUAUUCUGGUAGGUCCAAGACAUACAACAACGGUUGUUUAAAACAACAACAGUUGUGAAUAGGUUUUACACACCAUCUUGACUUAUAUCAUUAGUCGCAGACGACAUGUCGUGGAAAAAAUCAUACAUACAUCACAUCUUACCUCAAUAAUAGUUGGUCAAACGUGAUGGUAUCCCUUUUCCAACUAUUACGAGAGGUAUUUCCGUAAUAGUGAUCCUAGCAUACUCGCUAUAGCGAGUUAGAAAGCUGCUUAUAGCUAGAGUCCCGUUAUAGAACAUUGGGAACAAAAGAUCAAGAAAUACAAAUUCCACUCUCAAUAAAACACUCCCUACCACAUUUUUUCACCUCUAACCAUUUGUAAAAACAAAACCUAGAAAGGUUAAGAGAAGUGCUCUCACACUACUUAAUUUCAAGAAAAACAUCACUAAUCAACUCUUCCUUCUUUAAUUUUAGAAGUAACUCUCUACAUUAAUCAAUUAACAAAUCGCUACAAUUGUUUUUCUCCUUGAAUACAACAAAGAACAAUGGUUUCAUAUGUUUAAUUAUUUUCAUAAACUUAGUUAAAACCAAAUAGGGAUAGCAUGAAGAAUCAUUAAUUGUUUGUUAUUUCAUGUUGAGAAAAUUACAUAUGCCUUCUUUCUAUAAACUGUUACAACAUGAUAAUCAUAGGUUUAAGCUUAAAAUUAGUCAAAAACGAAAAGGAAAGAAAUAUAUGGAAUGAAGAAAAAAAAAUUAAAAACAAAGAGUACCAUAUUGAAAAGUGGUUUAAGGCCAAAUAAGAGAGAAAUAAUUAAAUAGAUAUAUUAAAUUGUUUUAGUACUACUGCGUCAAUAACAACCGAGUUUUUGUAGUAUUUAUGUUGCUUUACUUCAAAUCCAAUCCACUUAAUAUAAUAUUGAUAACUUACAAUCUUAUAACUAUUUGUAAAAAAAAUAAUUUAACUAAGACUAUCUAUUAUAAAAUAGAGUUUUAAUUAAAAUGCAAACUGACAGUGUAAAGAUAUUUUACAACUGUCAUUUAUUCAACAGUCAAUUUGAAUUUUUAAGAGAAGUUUGACUUUUCUAUAAUCACAUGUAAAGUAACCCAACGGAUGAUUGUGAUGUAAUUGAUGGUGUAUAAUUUUUUACACUGAACAGUGCAUAACAGUUAAUCUCUAUAGAAAUAUAGCAAUUACAACUAAUUUUAAAAACGACCCAAUUAUUAUCUUUGGUGAGGUUUUGUGUAUGGGAGGCUAAGCGUUUAGUCUUCUAUGAGCGAGAAAUAAGAACUAUCUAAUUACAUAAAUAUAACUAAGAACUAUGUAAAUUUUUCAAGUAAAAUUUAUAGGGGGGUGGUGGAAAAUUGAGAUAAUUAAGAUGAAUGGUUGUAAUAAAAAUCACAACUUAAGAUAGCAUAGGAUAAGGAACAAAAAUGCAAUUAAAGUGAUACAAUGAUACUUAGUGGCUAGUAUUAACAGGUUCCUUUGUUGAAAAUUAAAAGAAUGUAGUACUAAUCUAUUUCCAAAUACAGGGACCUAAGAAGGAAACUUGGUGGAAUUUUGUACACCAAAAAUUUGACCAAUUUAGUAAAAUGACUUUGUUUGAGACCUUACAAACUUUCAUUGAGCACAAUAACACUACAAAUUUCAAAUGGCUAAUUUCCCUUUUUUCUACGAAAGUUUAUAGUCUUUUUUUCAUGUUGGCCAUACUAUUAAAUAACCAAAUCAAAGUUAUGUCCAUCUGUAAUAUAUUUUCAUACAAAAUUUCAAGGAUUUCAAUCUUUUUUAUAUUUGAAUUUUUAUCGGUCUUGUAGCAACUCGAGUAAAUAUUGAAUCAUCUUAAGUAUUCAUGCGACAAAUUCUAAAAUAAUUUGAGAGUACUUAAAAUACUAAUAAAAGAGUGAUCGUUCACGAUUCUAAUCGUUAAUCCAUUUAUUUUACAAUUAAAUUAUUCUAACAAUCUUAUAGUAGGUCAAAUAAUAGUAACGAGACUUUCGUUUCAAUUAUCAAAGAAAUAAAUUAUUGUGUCAUAGAUACAUUUUCCUAAACACAAGAAUUGACAUUCUAAAUUCAAAUACGUAAUUUUUUUUCAAAUAAUAUUAAACACAAAAAUUAUAAUAUCAAGAUCCAGAAUAAAAUUUUCUACACAAAUAAUAUCAGAGUACGAAUAUCCAUUAUUAUAAUUUUUUAAUAAAUAUAUACAUUUAUUAUAUUAAAUUGAAUCCUAAAAAUUUAGAAAAUGAUACCGUAAUUAAAAUUUUGUCUUUUUGGAAUUUUCUUAUUGCUAUAUUUUCCUAAUUGAUUUUGUAGGACACAGUCCCACGGUAAAUAAUGUCGGUAUGGAAUUAUAUAUAAUAUAUAUUAUAUAAUUAUAUAUAUAUAUAUAUAUAUAUAUAUAUAUAUAUAUUAAUAUAUAUAUUAUAUAUAUAUAUAGUCAAACCAGCUGUUCAAUUAAAGUAUAUUAGCAUUUUCUUUCAUGUAUGGAUAUUGUUCCAGAAUGAAACAAUACAUUAGCAGAAUGUUUAUACAAUGAUAAUUAAUGUAUCCAUAAAAUUUAGUUAUAUUUUAUUUAAAAAGAAAACUAUAUAUAAUAAGUCAAAAGUAUAUAUGUCAAAACUCUGCAAAUAUUUUGUUACUAUUUCCAUCGUUUUGGUAAUUUUGGUUCACAUUUUUACUGUUCACAUUUUGAAAAUAAUUUAUUGGUUCACAUUUUGAAAAUGAUUCAUUAAAAAAUGGAGGGUCUUAUAGUAUGUGAAAUUUUGUUGAAUCCAGUUCCAAAUAUUCACAAGACAAAUUUUUAAACUCUAAAUUAUCAAUUUUAUGUUAAAUGUAAAAAUAUUUUAAAACCCAUUAAAACUUUUUUAUAAAUGAAUGGUUAAAUAAAAGAGGCUAGAAAUAAUCUAAUUGGAGUACCUUUGUAGCAGUUUUAGUUCCUCCAAAUAAAGCAUCAAUGGCAUGCUGACAAGAUCUGGCUUGCUCAGGUACACUACAAGAAAAAUGAUAAGUUAUUUUUGAAAGGUUAGCGCGCAUUUUUGAACCAUAUCAAUAGUUGCGUUCACAAAGGUUGUGGUUUU
rnacentral:lncRNA from 1 species